rnacentral:lncRNA from 1 species
UCUGUUCAGUUAUUUUGCCGGUAUGUUUUUCUCCACCGCACUUGUAGGAAAUAUAUUUCGGCUUAUCCGUGCUCCUGCUCUCGAAACCCCGCAGGCAUCGCUGCUCGCUGUGACCAGUAAAACGUCUCCAAGGCAUGUCCAAGCAUAGCUUCAUGCACAACACUGUGCACCUAUAAAUAUAAGGCGGACACGGUUUAUGGUGUAUGUGUUGAUAACGGAUGCUGGUGCGUAGUCUGCGUGAUACCACCUGCAGCUCAAUCUGCGUCUGCAACCCAGAUUGUGCCUGCAGGGAAUUAAAGGAUAUCGCUUGCUUCCCUUUCUUCCUAAAUAGAAUAAAACAGUGUCUGAUUAAUGUAUUUUGCUCGUACUGACAACAUUGUAUCGGUGUAUCAUGUAGCAAGGACCCGCGAGGCAAAAUAACAACCUAUUAAUAUUGAGUGCUCUUUGGCGAAAUGCAUGAUUAAUCAAUUGGACACCGUAGAGGAUGUAUAAAUAUCCUUUCAUUGCGAGUGGCCAUGAAAAUACAUUUGUGGAUUUUUUUCUCCAUGUUGAGAACAUUACCAAACCAUCGGAACCGGUCCUCCAUGCAAGUUGCAUGUGGAUGGGAGAUUCAUAGCCAAGAUAGUGAAUAAACAACUCCAUAAGAAACCUUGUUCUGAUCUCGUCAAAACUAUCAAACCCAUCACUUCACACCAUAAACCUAGCAAGCCGGUUCAAAUCUGGUCGAGAAGAAGCCCUUGGGUCCUCGGUGGUCAUCUGAAAGGCAACUUGAAUCACAAAGAGAGUGUCCCUGAUGGACCUGCAGGGUCUGCAGCGACGAUCAUCGGCAUGGCAGAUCGAUCAUGAGAUGAAUGCUAAAGGGGCAAGCUAACAUUUGGCAAACGCUGGGUGAAGACAACUGAUGAAAAGUACCCACACGGAUAAUCCAUGCUAACCGAGGCCAGCAGCCGCAUGCAUGGCCAGCACGAGACCUGGGUACACUAGUAGAAAAAGGCCCAUUUGUCCUGGUUCCAGAGGCCCUUAUGUCCCGGUUCUAGACCCGUGACUAAAGGUUCGGGACUAAAGCACAUGACCUUUAGUCUCGGUUCGCUUAUGAACCGGGACAGAUGGGCCCCCAAGUGGCCUCUCCGCCGAGCCCAGGCAGGAGGGCCUUUGGUCCCAGGUUGUAACACCAACCAGGACCAAAAAGUGUCCAUGCGUCAGCAGCUCAGGAGCUGGGGUUUUUGUUUUUUUGGAAGGGGGGGGUUGGUGUUUUGGAGUCGUUAAUUGGCCCAUACAUCCCAUCUAAGGAAGCCACAGGAGGCGGUCGACAGAGCCCAAUCGCGCGAGUGGAUCAAGCACCAAGAUCCCAACCGAGGCGAGCGAGGAGGCGCGCGAGGAUCGAACGCGACGCCUCUCAGCCGAGGUUGCAAGGGAAGCCGAUCCAGCCGACGAGGGAAUCCAGCGGACACGCCGGACGUGGGCGAUAAUGGUCGGCAACCCAUCUGCUGGGAACUGAUCACAAUCGUACUUCAGUUUCUAAGAGCGCAUUCUUGGCGAUUGUUGUGCCCAUCGUUUCCGCUGUCGAGUGGUACUUCUAUAUUGUUCCUCCCAUAACAAUCCUCGGUCACCUUCUCUUCUCUGAUAGCACAAGCAUCUUUCAUCAUCAUGCUCUGGUAUUACUUAUGCAUGAUUCCUUAAGAUUCGUCAUUGAGGUUUACAAUCGUUCAUUAUUUUAGUUGUUCUUUCAGAUUCGUCAUUGUGCCCUACAUGAGUCUCUGUCAAAAUUUGCAUGUGUUAACUCUGUAAGUAUGUAUGUAUGCAAUUUGAUAUUUUAUAAUACUAACAUUUGUCCACUUUGUCCUAAAGUAGUUUUUGCUGCUUGGAGGUGAGCAAAGCGAAGGUAUCCCAUUAUCAUGAUUCAGAUGACUCAUGUUAUUCUCUUUAUUGUCAAUGCAACCGAUUCCGGUUUAUGUCUCUUCUUGGAAUAAAAAAAUGCAUAUAUGAACCUGACUUCUCAUGGGUUAGAUUUUUUAGUUGAAUACAGUUUUGCAAACAGAUUAUUUAUGUAUGUUUCUUAGAAAACAUUGCUCCUUGAAUAAUACCCCAUGAUACUUAAACAAGCUCUAUGUCAUUUUUACUAGUUCAGUUUGGUGGUGGUUUAUAUUGAGGACUUGAUCAUUUCUCAUGCAUGCUAAAAGAUUUAUCUAACAUGCAGUUUUGUUCAGGUACAUUUCAUUCUUUUGUACAUUGAAAACUAGUGUUGGUAUAUUUUAUAGCUAGACUGUGCACAUAAGUGUAGAGGCCAUUAGUUAUGUUGUUCAAGCUAUGUUGGUACCUAUUUGAAGAUUAAUUCCAGUCUGGUAUGUUCCAUUGUCAUCUGACAUUUAAUAGUAAAAUAUACUAUUGAAAAUUAGUUAAAUAUACAAUGAACACUUGAAAUAAAGAAAUGUUAUGUCAGAUAAGUUAAACUGACUACAUAUUUGUCAAUGGCUUUCUCAAAUGUAGGUUUCAAAUCAGAUGUCAUUCAAAACUCAUCCUUGAAUUACCUUUAUACUUGAUUAACCGGACUACAUCAUGGAGUUGUCGUCUUUGUAGUUUGAUGAAAUAAGGCCCAUGGUUGUUUGCUUUCCACUCUUAAAUUGCCUUUAGUUUGAAAGAAGGCCCAUGGUUGUUUGCUUUCCACUCUUAAAUUGCCUUUUUGACAGCAACAAAAAACUAUACUAAUAGGAGUUUUGAUUUCCCUUCUUCCUGUACUUUUUCUAUAUCACAAAGAAUUGUUCACGCCUUAUUUGUCCAUUUCGUGUUGACAUUUCAACUUGACCAUUACGAGAGUAGCAUGAUUUUAUUUAUGAUUAUUGCUGUUGUAGAGGUGUUAAAUAUAUAAAGUAUGAAAGGUGUAAUUUCAUGAAAGUACUUUGUAAUAUCAGCUUCCUUUGCCUGAUUGAUGUUGCUUUACAAUCUUAUUUGUCGGCAUUUUGUUCAGCGAGUUAAUGCCUUUUCCAUGCUGUGAGGUCAUAUAUGUUGCAGGCACAGAGCACCCAAGAUUUUUCCAUAGACACAAAAGCAGUGCUCCGGCUGUAGCAUUAAUUACACACACUCGUAUUUCCUAGGCUGCUAUAUAAAUAUGCACAAAAGGAUUUCUAUAUCAAAUACACGUUUAUGAUCAGUGCGUAUUUUCUUCCUCCUGACAAUGCUUACCCUGCUUACAGUUAUCUACAUGGGUCUGGUUCCUUUUAAUAUCAAUAUUUGUCAUCAGAUUCUGAUAUACAUUGUUUCAGUCCAAAUUAUACAGGGUGCACAUUUUCUACAUUUAAUUUCGACUAAGACUUUCUUUUCUUGGUGGUAUGAUCACUUACCAGUAAUUUGAUGGUUAUCUAUAUAUAUAUUGAAUUUUCAUAGCAUUUUAACCUCCGAUAUCAAUAUAUUUUCAUAAUAUAAAUUGUUCAAUUUCAUUUCCAAUGUAUUUUACUCAUAUAUUUUUAUUAUUUCAUAAUAUUAAUGGUAUGACAAAUAUAUGAUUUAGUCGUUUGCAAAAAAAUUCUUGACUCGUGUAUUUUUCAAAAUUCCUUUCAUUCUUUUAAAACUAAACGGGUGCGGCAACACGCGCCAUCAAUGAUCGAGUCAUAAGUGAUGUCCCGACGAGAUUCUUUCAAUGUCAAUGACUUUACUUUUUGGCAAGAUACUUUGGAGGUACGUAAAGCUAUAGAUCAGCGAUGGAUCAACGUUGAGGUCAGGUAAAGAGGCGAUCUGUCCACUUCUUCUAGGGUGGCCGCCACGGUGGUGCCGGCGUUGAGUGACGGGCAUUGGUAUCUUGCUCAAGGGUUUCUUCAGUCAAGAUUGUAAUUUUCUUUCUCGACUAGCUAAGGGUAGUUUUUGCAAUAGCUAGGGUUGUCCUAUAUUUUUUGGUUCUGUCAAGUCGGUGUUUAAGUGAUCGUAAUUUGAUAUUUAUUUUACAAUUGAGACAUACAUUACAUCAUGAAAGAAAAAAAUCAAGGCUACAGAUCACAUGACCUCGUCUCUCCCGCAUGACCGCCCAGGACCUGUGUAGUGCGUACGCCGGAUCGUAGGCUCAUACACGAUAUUAGAGCAACUCUAGCAGACCCCGCAUCCAGCCCCGAUCCGCAAAAUAACUGCCAAAGUGCGGGUCGGGGCGUGAAAAACGCCCUGAUCAGACCCCGCAUCCCGCCCCGGCCCGCAAAUUUUUUUUCGGGGCACGGCAAAAUAUCUCCCCCAACCUCUAGAUUCAUGGGCUAGAGGGACAUUUCCGCGUGUCCGUUCCCGCUCCCCCCGCCCUCAUAAGGGCCUUUAGUCCCGGUUCAUAAGGGCCUUUAGUCUCGGUUCUGGAACCAGGACUAAAGGGUCGGUACUAAAGCCUCCCCCUUUAGUCCCGAUUCAUAUACGAACCGGGACUAAAGGCCCUCCACGUGGCCGCUGCCUGGAGGUCCACCUUUAGUCGCGGUUGGUAACACCAACUGGUACUAAAGGAAAUUUUAUGAUUUUUCUGAAUUUUUUUUUUGAAUUUUUCUUGAUUUUUUUUGUUUUCAAAUUUCUGAAUUAUUUUAACCUCUAAUCUCUAAUCACCCCUCAUCACUGCUCAAUUUAACCUUUAAUCUCUAAUCACCCCUCAUGAUUCCAAAUCAUCUAACUUCCUGAACGGUCGCCCAUCCUCUCACUACUCCAGCCUGAGCACGCUUAACUUCCGGGUUCUAUUCUCCCUCGUUUCCAAGUCUGCACUUGUUGUUUUCCUGACAAUAGUAAGAUGUCAAUCCUAUUAACCCUCAGGAAUUUAGCUUGAGCAUGAAGUCACACAUUUCACUGUUUGAGUUUGAAACUAUUGUUCUAAGAAACAAUAAUUAUUUAGUAACACUAAUAUUUCUUGAAUAAAUAGUUUGACCCUAGUUUGACCCUAGUUUGACCAUAGUUUGACCAUAGUUUGACCAGAUUUGACCAAAAUUCAAAAAAGCUGAAAUAAUUAUUUAGUAACACUAAUAUUUCUUGAAUAAGUAGUUUGACCAUUGUUUAACCACAGUUUGACCAUAUUUGACCAAAAUUCAAAAAAAUGAAAUAAUUAUUUAGUAACACAAAUAUUCUUGAAUAAUUAUUUAGUAAGACUAAUACUUCUUGAAUAAGUGGUUUGACCAUAGUUUGACCAGAUUUAAAAAAUUCAAAAAAACCUGAAAUUUGAGCAUAAUUUGGCCAUAGUUUGACCAGAUUCGUUCUGAACAUUUUGAUAUAUUAUACGUUUUUCCCGACAUCGUAUGCAAAAGUUAUAGCCGUUUUACAUUUUCCCUACACUUUUUGCAAAACAUGUCCAAAUAUAAGUUUUUAAAUUUUCCUAACUAGUAGAUGUAGUAAUAUAACUACCUCUAGAAGGAUUUUAUUUUUUGAAGUUUUUAUCAUUUUCUUUUGAUUUUUUNNNNNNNNNNNNNNNNNNNNNNNNNNNNNNNNNNNNNNNNNNNNNNNNNNNNNNNNNNNNNNNNNNNNNNNNNNNNNNNNNNNNNNNNNNNNNNNNNNNNNNNNNNNNNNNNNNNNNNNNNNNNNNNNNNNNNNNNNNNNNNNNNNNNNNNNNNNNNNNNNNNNNNNNNNNNNNNNNNNNNNNNNNNNNNNNNNNNNNNNNNNNNNNNNNNNNNNNNNNNNNNNNNNNNNNNNNNNNNNNNNNNNNNNNNNNNNNNNNNNNNNNNNNNNNNNNNNNNNNNNNNNNNNNNNNNNNNNNNNNNNNNNNNNNNNNNNNNNNNNNNNNNNNNNNNNNNNNNNNNNNNNNNNNNNNNNNNNNNNNNNNNNNNNNNNNNNNNNNNNNGGCAUCGCACCCUUUAGUCUCAGUUCGUGUCUCAAACCUGGACUAAAGGGCUCAGGUGAACCGGGACUAAUGCCUUAGCCGCAUGAACCGGGACCAAUGCUCACAUUAGUCCCGGUUCGUGACUGAACCGGGACUAAUGUGAAUAUUGCCCCGUGACCAAAGCCCUGUUUUCUACUAGUGAUUCCCCGCCACCGCACGCUCCCCAGCCAUCCUUCACCACCAUGGAUGACUCCCUGCUGUCCCCCGUCACCGUCGAGGUCGCUGGCGCUCCUUCUCCUUGGGCGGAUCUCGUCGCUGGCCCUACUAGCCCCGCCGUGGCCCAAGGUCAAUCCGCGCCUGCCCGCAAGAGGCAAGGCAACGUGGUCGUGCAGGGCAGCGCUCCGGCAGCCCCUCCCCCGCGAGGGCCCACGCUCGAGGCGCCAACGCUGAUGCGCGAUCUCGGCCGACGGUGGAGAAGGUCGCCAAGGUCGCCGACGUCAAGAGGAAGAAGAUUCUGGCCACAAAGAAGCUUCCUCCUUCAUCCGCUCACUCCGGCCUAGAAAGAGGUGCCUCGGCGAUGCCGCUCAACGGUGUCGCUCCCCCCACAAGCGAGGUGUUUGACGAAAUGGCCGGUAGGUAUGUGUCUUCGGUCAUGGCAAUUUUUCUUUUCUUUUUGCCAUUUUGCGAUAGCUCGUGACUUGUUGUGCUUCACUAUAGCGGUGGUUCGAACAAUGCAACUGCCAAGUUCGUGAACUUGUUGGACACCAAUGCCGUUGAAAUUGAUCAAGUCCCGUUUGAAGCAUUCGACUACAAUGAAACGGAGGCCGGCGUGGACGAUCAUGGUUUUCAGGAUGAUUUAGAGGAGAUCGAAGAGGAAGCAUAUGAGCAAUCACAAACAAAAACUAGGAAAAGCCAGAGAUUGAAGAACUACACGAUCUUGGAAGAUCAAGUUCUCAUCAAUGCAUGGACUACCAUGUCACUUCAUGCAUGCACGGGUACUUCUCAAACCGCCAAGAGGUAUUGGCAAAGGAUCAACGAUCAAUACUUCUGCAUGAUGGCAAAGUACCCCAAUAGGACUCCACACACAUUUCAGUCUCUUCAAGGUCGUUGGGAGAAUAUCAAGCCUAUGUGCAGCCGUUAGGCAGCUUGCUUGGAGAGCAAGUACGCAAUGCACCUCCAAGUGGAGCCGUGGAAUCCGACUAUGUGAGUUUGUUUUGCCUUUGUUCAACUUGUGCAUCAUCAUAUUACAUCAUAUGAAAUGAUUGCAUCAUUUCACUUUGUUCACAUUGUGUAGAAAAUUUUUGCCCAACAUAGAUACAAAGUCAUGGAAGCUUUAGAAGGCAAAUUCUUCAAACUAGAGCAUUGUUGGGAGUUGCUCCAAAAGUGCGAUAAGUGGAAGUUGAUCGAGAAAGAAUCCCCAUAGAAGAUAGGCUCACUUACAAACAUGAAUGAUGAUGAGGAUGAUGAUGGCCCAAGGAAUUUGAACAAGCCCGAUGGCGACAAGAAUACUAAGGAGAAGAUGAAGAGAGAGCAUGAAGCAUCGAGCUUGAGGGAGAAGAUUGAUGCCAUGGUGUAAUCAAAUGAGUUGAUGUUGUUGAAGUCAUUGGAGAUCAAGAAAGAGUUGGCCGAGAAGAAGGGAAAGGAGAAGCAGGAAAAGUGGCAAUUGCUCAAGGAAUAGGGGCUGCGCAAAGCGGCCAUUGAGGAUAGAAGAGCACGUGUCGAUGAAAACAAAGCCAUGUCCAAGUUGCUCGCCGAAGAGAACAAGAUCAUGUCAAUGGCCGCAAUGACGUGGACGACCUCACCAAAACAUGGAUUGAUAUGGCAAGGAGAGAAAUCUUGAAGAAGAGAAUGGUUGUGUCGGCCGGUGCGUGUUACAGUUCCGGAGAUGUUUUCUCUGUUGGCAAUGUCGAUGAUUUCGGUGCGGGAGUUGGAACAAGCGCCGGAGGUGGAUUCGGUGGUGGUGAUGAACUUCAAGAUGGACUUGAUGGUGGGAGUGAAGAUCGACCAAGAUGAUGCCGGACGUGGUCGUCACUUUUUCAAGACCCUCUUUUGCGUUUGUCCUACUAAACAGAGGCUUUUAUUUGCGCGUAAACUCUGUUAUGUUGUUUGAAUUUGAACUUAUUUGUGGGCACCAAUGUCAAAUUUGAGAAUUGGGCAUUUUUUGUUUGCGGGUUGACACGGCGGUGCCCGUGCAGACACAGCAAAAGCCAACUCGUAAGAAGGUAUAUCCUUUUAUACGGGUCCGUUUGGGGGUCUGCAUCUGCGGCCGUGCGAGUCAGCCCGCAAAAGCCGUUUUCCACGAACUGCAAACGCGUUUUGCGGGCCGGCCAGAUGCGGGGUCUGGUAGAGUUGCUUGUCAGUACUUCAUAUGUUCAUAUCCAUAACCAAAAUAAUAGGUGCGGAUAUGCAUGUCUUAAUUAACCACCAUAAAAUGGGAUACUAAUAGGAUCCAGUUUAUCCCCUAUACUUAGCAAAACUAUAAAUUUAUACUAAUGAACUAGAAUAAUAAUAAGCUUCACGUCCACCCAUUUACCUUUUUUAAUGUUUCAAUAUAUGUUAUUAAUGUUGGGGAACGUAGUAAUUUCAAAAAAAUUCCUACGCACACGCAAGAUCAUGGUGAUGCAUAGCAACGAGAGGGGAGAGUGUUGUCUACGUACCCUCGUAGACCGGAAGCGGAAGCGUUAGCACAACGCGGUUGAUGUAGUCAUAGGUCUUCACGGACCGACCGAUCAAGCACCGAAACUACGACACCUCCGACUUCUAGCACACGUUCAGCUCGAUGAUGAUCCCCGGACUCCGAUCCAGCAGAAUGGGAAGAGUUCCGUCAGCACGACGGCGUGGUGACGAUCUUGAUGUUCUACUGUCGCAGCCCUUCACCUAAGCACAGCUACAAUAUUAUCGAGGAUUAUGGUGGAGGAGGGCACCGCACGGCUAAUAGAUCUCAAGGAUCAAUUAUUGUGUCUAUGGGGUGCCCCUGCCCCCGUAUAUAAAGGAGCAAGGGGGAGGCGGCCGGCCUAGGAGGAGGGCGCGCCAAGGGGGGAGUCCUACUCCCACCGGGAGUAGGACUCCUCCUUCCCUUGUUGGAGUAGGAGAGAAGGAAAGAGGGGGAGAGGAACAAGGAAAAGGGGGCUGCACCCCUUGUCCAAUUCGGACCAGAGGGGGCGCGCGCGCGUCCUUCCUUUUGGCCUCUGUCCUCUAUUCCCGUAUAGCCCAAUAAGGCCCAUAUACUCCCCGGCGAAUUCCCGUAACUCUCCGGUACUCCGAAAAAUACCCGAAUCACUCAGAACCUUUCCGACAUUCGAAUAUAGUCAUCCAAUAUAUCGAUCUUUACGUUUCGACCAUUUCAAGACUCCUCGUCAUGUCCCUGAUCUCAUCCGGGACUCCGAACUCCUUAGGUACAUCAAACUCAUAAACUCAUAAUAUAACUAUCAUCGAAACCUUAAGCGUGCGGACCCUAUGGGUUCGAGAACAAUGUAGAAAUGACCGAGACACGUCUCCGGUCAAUAACCAAUAGCGGAACCUGAAUGCUCAUAUUGGCUCCCACAUAUUCUACGAAGAUCUUUAUCGGUCAAACCGCAUAACAACAUACGUUGUUCCCUUUGCCAUCGGUAUGUUACUUGCCCGAGAUUCGAUCAUUGGUAUCUCAAUACCUAGUUCAAUCUCGUUACCGGCAAGUCUCAUUACUCGUUCCGUAACACAUCAUCCUGCAACUAACUCAUUAGUUGCAAUGUUUGCAAGGCUUAUAGUGAUGUGCAUUACCGAGUGGGCCCAGCGAUACCUCUCCGACAAUCGGAGUGACAAAUCCUAAUCUCGAAAUAUGCCAACCCAACAAGUACCUUCAGAGACACCUGUAGAGCACCUUUAUAAUCACCCAGUUACGUUGUGAUGUUUGGUAGCACACAAAGUGUUCCUCCGGUAAACGGGAGUUGCAUAAUCUCAUAGUCAUAGGAACAUGUAUAAGUCAUGAAGAAAGCAAUAGCAACAAACUAAACGAUCAAGUGCUAUGCUAACGGAAUGGGUCAAGUCAAUCACAUCAUUCUCCUAAUGAUGUGAUCCCGUUAAUCAAAUGACAACUCAUGUCUAUGGUUUGGAAACAUAACCAUCUUUGAUCAACGAGCUAGUCAAGUAGAGGCAUACUAGUGACACUCUGUUUGUCUAUGUAUUCACACAUGUAUUAUGUUUCCGGUUAAUACAAUUCUAGCAUGAAUAAUAAACAUUUAUCAUGAUAUAAGGAAAUAAAUAAUAACUUUAUUAUUGCCUUUAGGGCAUAUUUCCUUUAGUCUCCCACUUGCACUAGAGUCAAUAAUCUAGUUCACAACGCCAUAUGAUUUAACAUCAAUAGUUCACAUCACCAUGUGAUUAACAACCAUAGUUCACAUCGUCAUGUGACCAACACCCAAAGGGUUUACUAGAGUCAAUAAUCUAGUUCACAUUGCUAUGUGAUUAAUACCCAAAUAGUAGUAAGGUGUGAUCAUGUUUUGCUUGUGAGGGAAGUUUAGUCAAUGGGUCUGCUACAUUCAUAUCCGUAUGUAGUUUGCAAAUUUCUAUGUCAACAAUGCUCUGCAUGGAGCUACUCUAGCUAAUUUCUCCCACUUUAAAUAUGUAUCCAGAUUGAGACUUUGAGUCAUCUGGAUCAGUGUCAAAACUUGCAUCGACGUAACCCUUUAUGACGAAACUUUUGUCACCUCCAUAAUUGAGAAACAUAUCCUUAUUCCACUAUGGAUAAUUUUGACCAAUGUCCAGUGAUCUACUCCUAGAUCACUAUUGUACUCCCUUGCCAAACUCAGGGCAGGGUAUACAAUAGCUCUGGUACAUAGCAUGGCAUACUUUAUAGAACCUAUGGCUAAGGCAUAGGGAAUGACUUUCAUUCUCUCUCUAUCUUCUACCGUGGUCGGGUUUUGAGUCUUACUCAACUUCACACCUUCUAACACAGGCAAGAACUCCUUCUUUGACUGUUCCAUUUUGAACUACUUCAAAAUCUUGUCAAGGUAUGUACUUAUUGAAAAACUUAUCAAGCAUCUUGAUCUAUCUCUAUAGAUCUUGAUGCUCAAUAUGUAAGCAGCUUCACCGAGGUCUUUCUUUGAAAAACUCCUUUCAAACAUUCCUUUAUGCUUUCCAGAAUAAUUCUACAUUAUCUCCGAUCAACUAUAUGUCAUUCACAUAUACUUAUCAGAAAUGUUGUAGUGCUCCCACUCACUUUCUUGUAAAUACAGGUUUCACCGCAAGUCUGUAUAAAACUAUAUGCUUUGAUCAACUUAUCAAAGCAUAUAUUCCAACUCCGAGAUGCUUGCACCAGUCCAUAGAUGGAUCGCCGGAGCUUGCAUAUUUUGUUAGCACCUUUAGGAUUGAAAAAACUUUCUUGUUGCAUCAUAUACAACUCUUCUUUAAUAAAUCCAUUAAGGAAUGUAGUUUUGUUUAUCCAUUUGCCAGAUUUCAUAAAAUGUGGCAAUUGCUAACAUGAUUCGGAUAGACUUAAGCAUAGAUACGAGUGAGAAACUCUCAUCGUAGUCAACACCAUGAACUUGUCGAAAACCUUUUGCGACAAUUCUAGCUUUGUAGAUAGUAACACUACUACCAGCGUCCGUCUUCCUCUUGAAGAUCCAAUUAAUCUCAAUUGCUUGCCGAUCAAUGGGCAAGUCAACCAAAGUCCACACUUUGUUCUCAUACAUGGAUCCCAUCUUAGAUUUCAUGGCCUCAAGCCAUUUCGCGGAAUCUGGGCUCAUCAUCGCUUCCUCAUAGUUCAUAGGUUCGUCUUGGUCAAGUAACAUGAACUCCAGAGUAGGAUUACCUUACCACUCUGGUGCGGAUCUCACUCUGGUUGACCUACGAGGUUUGGUUGUAACUUGAUCUGAAGUUACAUGAUCAUCAUCAUUAGCUUCCUCACUAAUUGGUGUAGUAGUCACAGGAACAGAUUUCUGUGAUGAACUACUUUCCAAUAAGGGAGCAGGUAUAGUUACCUCAUCAAGUUCUACUUUCCUCUCACUUAAUUCUUUCGAGAGAAAUUCCUUCUCUAGAAAGGAUCAAUUCUCAGCAACAAAUAUCUUGCCUUCGGAUCUGUGAUAGAAGGUGGACCCAACAUUUUCUUUUGUGUAUCCUAUGAAGACGCACUUCUCCGAUUUGGGUUUGAGCUUAUCAGGUUGAAACUUUUUCACAUAAGCAUUGCAACCUCAAACUUUAAGAAAUGACAGCUUAGGUUUCUUGCCAAACCAUAGUUCAUACGGUGUUGUCUCAACGGAUUUAGAUGGUGCCCUAUUUAAUAUGAAUGUAGCUGUCUCUAAUGCAUAACCCCAAAACGAUAGUGGUAGAUUGGUAGGAGACAUCAUAGAUCGCACCAUAUAUAAUAAAGUACGGAUACGAUGUUCGGACACACCAUUACACUAUGGUGUUCCAGGUGGCGUGAGUAGUGAAACUAUUUCACCUUGUUUUAACUGAAGGCCAAACUCGUAACUCAAAUAUUUUACUUCUGCGAUCAUAUUGUAGAAACUUUUAUUUUUGUUAUGAUGAUUCUCCACUUCACUCUGAAAUUCUUUGAACUUUUCAACUUUUUUAGACUUGUGUUUCAUUAAGUAGAUAUACCCAUAUCUGCACAAAUCAUAUGUGAAGGUCAGAAAAUAACAAUAAUUGCCGUGAGCCUUAACACUCAUCAGACCGCAUACAUCAGUAUGUAUUAUUUCCAAUAAGUCAGUUGCUCGCUCCAUUGUUCCGGAGAACGGAGUCUUAGUCAUCUUGCCCAUGAGGCAUGGUUCACAAGCAUCAGGUGAUUCAUAAUCAAGUGAUUCCAAAAGUCCAUCAGCAUGGAGUUUCUUCAUGCGCUUUACACCAAUAUGACCUAAACGGCAGUGCCACAAAUAAGUUGCACUAUCAUUAUUAAUUUUGCAUCUUUUGGUUUCAAUAUUAUGAAUAUGUGUAUCACUACAAUCGAGAUCCAAUGAACCAUUUUCAUUGGGUGUGUAACCAUAUAAGGUUUUAUUCAUGUAAACAGAACAACAAUUUAUUCUCUUACUUAAAUGAAUAACCGUAUUGCAAUAAACAUGAUCAAAUCAUAUUCAUGCUCAACGCAAACACUAAAUAACAUUUAUUUAGGUUCAACACUAAUCCCGGAAGUAUAGGGAGUGUGCGAUGAUGAUCAUAUCAAUCUUGGAACCACUUCCAACACACAUCAUCACUUCACCCUUAACUAGUCUUUGUUCAUUCUGCAACUCCCGUUUCGAGUUACUACUCUUAGCAACUGAACCAGUAUCAAAUACUAAUGGGUUGCUACAAGCACUAGUAAAAUACACAUCAAUAAUCUGUAUAUCAAAUAUAUCUUUGUUCACUUUGCCAUCCUUCUUAUCCGCCAAAUAAUUGGGGCAGUUCCGCUUCCAGUGACCAGUCCCUUUGCAGUAGAAGCACUUAGUCUCAGGCUUAGGACUAGACUUGGGCUUCUUCACUUGAGCAGCAACUUGCUUGUCGUUCUUCUUGAAGUUCCCCUUCUUCCCUUUGCCCUUUCUCUUGAAACUAGUGGUCUUGUCAAACAUCAACACUUGAUGUUUUUCUUGAAUUCUACCUUCACCGAUUUUUGCAUCAUGAAGAGCUUGGGAAUCGUUUCUGUUAUGCCUUGCAUAUUAUAGUUCAUCACAAAGUUCUACUAACUUGGUGAUGAUGACUAGAGAAUUCUGUCAAUCACUAUUUUAUCUGGAAGAUUAACUCCCACUUGAUUCAAGCGAUUGUAGUAGCCAGAUAAUCUGAGCACAUGCUCACUUCUUGAGCUAUUCUCCUCCAUCUUUUAGCUAUAGAACUUGUUGGAGACUUCAUAUCUCUCAACUCGGGUAUUUACUUGAAAUAUUAACUUCAACUCCUGGAACAUCUCAUAUGGUCCAUGACAUUCAAAACGUCUUUGAAGUCCUGAUUCUAAGCCGUUAAGCAUGAUGCACUAAACUAUCAAGUAGUCAUCAUAUUGAGCUAGCCAAACGUUCAUAACGUCUGCAUCUACUCCUGCAAUAGGUCUGUCACCUAGCUGUGCAUCAAAGACAUAAUUCUUCUGUGCAGCAAUGAGGAUAAUCCUCAGAUCACGGAUCCAAUCCGCAUCAUUUCUACUAACAUUUUUCAAGAUAAUUGUUCUCUAGGAACACAAUAAACUGGGAGCAACAUCGCGAGCUAUUGAUCUACAACAUAGAUAUGCUAAUACUACCAGGACUAAGUUCAUGAUAAAUUAAAGUUCAAUUAAUCAUAUUACUUAAGAACUCCCACUUAGACAGACAUCCCUCUAAUAUUCUAAGUGAUCACGUGAUCCAUAUCAACUAAACCAUGUCCGAUCAUCACGUGAGAUGGAGUGGUUUCAAUGGUGAAAAUCACUAUGUUGAUCAUAUCUACUAUAUGAUUCACGCUCGACCUUUCGGUCUCCGUGUUCCGAGGCCAUAUCUGUUAUAUGCUAGGCUCGUCAAGUUUAACCUGAAUAUUCCGCGUGUGCAACUAUUUUGCACCCGUUGUAUUUGAACAUAGAGCCUAUCACACCCGAUCAUCAGGUGGCGUCUUAGCACAAAGAACUUUCGCAACGGUGCAUACUCAGGGAGAACACUUGUACCUUGAUAAUUAGUGAGCGAUCAUCUUAUAAAGCUACCGUCGAACUAAGCAAAAUAAGAUGUAUAAAAGAUAAACAUCAUAUGCAAUCAAAAUAUGUGACAUGAUAUGGCCAUCAUCAUCUUGUGCCUUUGAUCUCCAUCUCCAAAGUAUUGUCAUGAUCUCCAUCGUCACCGGCAUGACACCAUGAUCUCCAUCAUCUUGAUCUAUAUCAAUGUGUCGUCACAUGGUUGUCUCGCCAACAAUUGCUCUUGCAACUAUUGCUAUCGCAUAGAGAUAAAGUAAAGCAAUUAUUUGGUGCUUGCAUCUUAUGCAAUAGAGAGAUAACCAUAAGGCUUUUGCCUGUUGCUGAUAACUUCAACAAAACAUGAUCAUCUCAUACAACAACUUAUAUCUCAUCACGUGUUGACCAUAUCACAUCACAACAUGCCCUGCAAAAACAAGUUAGACGUCCUCUACUUUGUUGUUGCAAGUUUUACGUGGCUGCUACGGGCUUAGCAAGAACCGUUCUUACCUACGCAUUAAAACCACAAUGAUAGUUUGUCAAGUUGGUGCUAUUUUAAGCUUCGCAAGGACCGGGCAUAGCCACACUUGGUUCAACUAAAGUUGGAGAAACUAACACCCGCCAGCCACAUGUGUGCAAAGCACGUCAGUAGAACAAGUCUCACGUAAGCGUAUGCGUAAUGUCGGUCCGGGCCGCUUCAUCCAACAAUACCGCCGAACCAAAGUGUGACAUGCUGGUAAGAAGUAUGACUUAUAUCGCCGACAACUCACUUGUGUUCUACUCGUGCACAAGAUCAACACAUAAAACCUAGGCUCUGAUACCACUGUUGGGGAACAUAGUAAUUUCAAAAAAAUUCCUACGCACAUGCAAGAUCAUGGUGAUGCAUAGCAACGAGAUGGGAAAGUGUUGUCUACGUACCCUCGUAGACCGGAAGCGGAAGCGUUAGCACAACGCGGUUGAUGUAGUCGUAAGUCUUCACGGCCCGACUGAUCAAAGCAUCUAAACUACGGCACCUCCGAGUUCUAGCACACGUUCAGCUCGAUGAUGAUCCCUGGACUCCGAUCCAGCAGAAUGUCGGGGAAGAGUUCCGUCAGCACGACGGCGUGGUGACGAUCUUGAUGUUCUACCGUCGCAGGGCUUCGCCUAAGCACCGCUACAAUAUUAUUGAGGAUUAUGGUGGAGGAGGGCACCGCACACGGCUAAUAGAUCUCAAGAAUCAAUUGUUGUGUCUAUGGGGUGCCCCCUGCCCCCGUAUAUAAAGGAGCAAGGGGGGAGGCGGCCGGCCUAGGAGGAGGGCGCGCCAAGGGGGGAGUCCUACUCCCACCAGGAGUAGGACUCCUCCUUCCCUUGUUGGAGUAGGAGAAAAGGAAAGAGGGGGAGAGGAACAAGGAAAAGGGGGCUGCACCCCUUGUCCAAUUCGGACCAGAGGGGGGGCGCACGCUUCCUUCCUUUUAGCCUCUCUCCUCUAUUCCCGUAUGGCCCAAUAAGGCCCAUAUACUCCCCGGCGAAUUCCCAUAACUCUCCGGUACUCCAAAAAAUACCCGAAUCACUCGGAACCUUUCCGAUGUCCGAAUAUAGUCGUCCAAUAUAUCGACCUUUAUGUCUUGACCAUUUCGAGACUCCUCUUCAUGUCCCCGAUCUCAUCCGGGACUCCGAACUCCUUCGGUACAUCAAAACUCAUAAACUCAUAAUAUAACUGUCAUCGAAACCUUAAGCGUGCGGACCCUACGGGUUCAAGAACAAUGUAGACAUGACCGAGACACGUCUCCAGUCAAUAACCAAUAGCGGAACCUGGAUGCUCAUAUUGGCUCCCACAUAUUCUACGAAGAUCUUUAUCGGUCAAACCGCAUAACAACAUACGUUGUUCCCUUUGCCAUCGGUAUGUUACUUGCCUGAGAUUUGAUUGUUGGUAUCUCAAUACCUAGUUCAAUCUCAUUACGGGCAAGCCUCUUUACUCGUUCCGUCACACAUCAUCCCGCAACUAACUCAUUAGUUGCAAUGCUUGCAAGGCUUAUAUUGAUGUGCAUUACCGAGUGGGGCCAGAGAUACCUCUCCGACAAUCGGAGUGACAAAUCCUAAUCUCGAAAUACGCCAACCCAACAAGUACCUUCGGAGACACCUGUAGAGCACCUUUAUAAUCACCCAGUUAUGUUGUGACGUUUGGUAGCACACAAAGUGUUCCUCCGGUAAACGGGAGUUGCAUAAUCUCAUAGUCAUAGGAACAUGUAUAAGUCAUGAAGAAAGCAAUAGCAACAAACUAAACGAUCAAGUGCUAUGCUAACAGAAUGGGUCAAGUCAAUCAUCUCAUUCUCCUAAUGAUGUAAUCCCGUAUAUCAAAUGACAACUCAUGUCUAUGGUUAGGAAACAUAACCAUCUUUGAUCAACGAGCUAGUCAAGUAGAGGCAUACUAGUGACACUCUGUUUGUCUAUGUAUUCACACAUGUAUUAUGUUUCUGGUUAAUACAAUUCUAGCAUGAAUAAUAAACAUUUAUCAUGAUAUAAGCAAAUAAAUAAUAACUUUAUUAUUGCCUCUAGGGCAUAUUUCCUUCAAUUAAUUGAUUCCACUUAGUAUAACCAGAGCAUGGCUGCUAUAAAGCACCCAACCUGUAUAGAUCCAUUGCACAUCCACAAAGAUAGAAAGCUACACAUACAACCGCCGGAAACACAACUCAUAAUUAAAACAAAAACCUCCUACAUAACAUAGUUUUUCUACAAAUCAAGGAUGAAGACUGUCCAGGUGGUGCUCAUAUGCCUUGUCCUUUCGGUGCUCUGUUCAGGUAUUUUGCCGGUAUGUUUUUCUCCACCGCACUUGUAGGAAAUAUAUUUCGUCUUAUCCAUGCUCCUGCUCUCGAAACCCCACAGGCAUCGCUGCUCGCUGUGACCAGUACAACGUCUCCAAGGCAUGUCCAAGCAUACCUUCAUGCACAACACUGUGCACCUAUAAAUAUAAGGCGGACACGGAUUAUGGUGUAUGUGCUGAUAACGGAUGCUGGUGCGUAGUCUGCGUGAUACCACCUACAGCUCAAUCUACGUCUGCAACCCAGAUUGCGCCUGCAGGGAAUUAAAGGAUAUCGCUUUCUUCCCUUUCUGCCUAAAUAGAAUAAAACAGUGUCUGAUUAAUGUAUUUUUCUCGUACCAACAACAUUGUAUCGAUGUAUCAUGUAGCAAGGACCCGCGAGGCAAAAUAACAACCUAUUAAUAUUGAGCGCUCUUUGGCGAAAUGCAUGAUUAAUCAAUUUGACACCGUAGAGGAUGUAUAAAUAUCCUUUCAUUGCGAGUGGCCAUGAAAAUACAUUUGUGGAUUUUUUUCCUCCAUGUUGAGAACAUUACCAAACCAUCGGAACCGGUCCUCCAUGCAAGUUGCAUGUGGACGGGAAAUUCACAGCCAAGAUAGUGAAUAAACAGCUCCAUAAGCAACCUUGUUCUGAUCUCGUCAAAACUAUCAAACCCAUCACUUCACACCAUAAACCUAGCAAGCCGGUUCAAAUCUGGUCGAGAAGAAGCCCUUGGGUCCUCGGUGGUCAUCUGAAAGGCAACUUGAAUCACAAAGAGAGUGUCCCUGAUGGACCUGCAGGGUCUGCAGCGACGAUCAUCGGCAUGGCAGAUCGAUCAUGAGAUGAAUGCUAAAGCGGCAAGCUAACAUUCAAACACUGGGUGAAGAAAGCUCAUGAAAAGUACCCACACGGAUAAUCCAUGCUAACCGAGGCCAGCAGCAGCAUCCAUGGCCAGCAUGAGUCCUUGGUGCACUAGUAGAAAAAGGCCCAUUUGUCCUGGUUCCAGAGGCCCUUAUGUCCCGGUUAUGGACCCGUGACUAAAGGGUCGGGACUAAAGCACAUGGCAUUUAGUCUCGGUCCUGGACAGAUGGGCCUCCAUGUGGCCUCUCCGCCGAGCCCAGGCAGGAGGGCCUUUGGUCUUGGUUUGUAAUACCAACCGGGACCAAAAAGUGUCCAUGCGUCAGCAGCUCAGGAGUUGGGGUUUUUCUUUUUUUUGGAAGGGGGGUUGGGGUUUUGGAGUUGUUAAUUGGCCUAGACAGCCCAUCUAAGGAAGCCACGGGAGGCGGUCGACAGAGCCCAAUCGCGCGAGUGGAUCGAGCACCAAGAUCCCAACCGAGGCAAGCGAGGAGGCGCGCGAGGAUCGAACGCGACGCCCUUCAGCCGAGGUUGCAAGGGAAGCCGAUCCAGCCGACGAAGGAAUCCAGCGGACACGCCGGAUGCGAAUGAAUUAGGGGCCAGGUCGAUAUGUCUAUGAACUGGGAAGGGGGACGCGGGCGAUGAUGGUCGGCAACCCAUCUGCUGGGAACUGAUCACAAUCGUACUUCAGUUUCUAAGAGCGCAUUCAUGGCGAUUGUUGUGCCCAUCGUUUCCGCUGUCGAGUGGUACUUCUAUAUUGUUCCUCUCAUAACAAUCCUCGGUCACCCUCUCUUCUCUUACAGCACACGCAUCUUUCAUCAUCAUGCUCCGGUAUUACUUAUGCAUGAUUCCUUAAGAUUUGUCAUUGAGGUUUACAAUCGUUCAUUAUUUUAGUUGUUCUUUCAGAUUCGUCAUUGUGCCCUACAUGAGUCUCUGUCAAAAUUUGCAUGUGUUAACUCUAUAAGUAUGUAUGUAUGCAAUUUGAUAUUUUAUAAUACUAACAUUUGUCCACUUUGUCCUAAAGUAGUUUUUGCUUCUUGGAGGUGAGCAGAGCGAAGGUAUCCCAUUAUCAUGAUUCAAAGGACUCAUGUUAUUCUCUUUAUUUUCAAUGCAACCGAUUCUGGUUUAUAUCUCUUCUUGGAAUAAAAAAAUGCAUAUAUCAACCUGGCUUCUUAUGUAGCUAUGUUCAAUCAACACAGCAGCAUGUUUUUGUUGGGUUGCAGACAUCCCUGUUCUGCGACAGGUGAUAGAUAGGGAAUUAGGAUUUUAGAAAAUUUGCAUACAGAAAUCUUCGGAAGUAAAACAUGUAAAUGUGGACAAGUAUGAAAGCAAUACAAAAGACAACAUUUUUAUUUUCAAGUUAUAAAGUGGAAUCCAUAGAUUACACAGGAAUGUUGUCUCCUAGAAGUGAAUAAUAACAAGACAUCCGUUCAUUCAAAUUGGUGAAUAUUUCUCAAGAUGGGUAAGAUUGACUUUCUCACAUAGAGUGCAGUAUUGUGACGGUCCCUUUGACUACAUACAUGUUUGUCUCUCUGUUGUGAACUUGCAAGACCUGGAAGAACCAGCAUAUUUGUUUAAAUUUCGAAAUCUUGGUGAUGUUGUUUUUUCCUUCUUUGCGCAUACUUCUCCUAUUGUUUUGGUGACAAACACUUCAUUGCUAAUCUGCCUUUCAAUGAAUAUAUCCUUUUUGGCUGAUAGUCCUCUUAAACCUUUAAAUCAGUUUUUUAACUGGUGCUCAAUAUAAUGGAUUGUAAUGGUCAGCUGCUUAAUAUAAGAGCUUGGUAACUUGACUUUAUGAAUUUAUCGUCCCUUUUUUGAAAUAUUUACUGUCAAUUAUAAGGUGGUGGGCGGCCUAGUGGAGGCUUAGGUAUGUUGAUGGUCCGUCUCCCUUGAUUCCAUUAUUUACAUCCUCUCGACUGCUAGCUCUCACUAGCUACCUGUAGGCAAAUAUUUCUCCUAGCCACGCCACACAUGGUGCUCGAGAACUGAUGCUGGUGAGCUUAUCGUUGCGUACAUUCUACUCAUCAGUUGGCUUUUUUAGUUGAAUACAGUUUUGCAAAUAGAUUAUUUAUGUAUGUUUCUUAGAAAACAUUGCUCCUUGAAUAAUACCCCAUGAUACUUAAACAAGCUCUAUGUCGUUUUUACUAGAUCAGUUUGGUGGUGGUUUAUAUUGAGGAUUUGAUCAUUGCUCAUGCAUGCUAAAAGAUUUAUCUGACAUCCAGUUUUGUUCAGGUACAUUUCAUUCUUUUGUACAUUGAAAACUAUUGUUGGUAUAUUUGAUAGCUAGACUGUGCACACAAGUGUAGAGGCCAUUAGUUAUGUUUUUCAAGCUAUGUUUGUAUCUGUUUGAAGAUUAAUUCUAGUCUGAUAUGUUCCAUUGUCAUCUGACAUUUAAUAGUAAAAUAUACUAUUGAAAAUUAGUUAAAUAUACAUUGAACAGUUGAAAUAAAGAAUGUCAUGUCAGAUAAGUUAAGCUGACUACAUAUUUGUCAAUGGCUUUCUCAAAUGUAGGUUUCAAAUCAGAUGUCAUUCAAAACUCAUCCUUGAAUUACCUUUAUACUUGAUUGACUGGACUACAUCAUGGAGUUGUCGUCUUUGAAGUUUGAUGAAAUAAGGCCCAUGGUUGUUUGCUUUCCACUCUUAAAUUGCCUUUAGUUUGAAAUAAGGCCCAUGGUUGUUUGCUUUCCAUUUUUAAAUUGCCUUUUUGACAGCAACAAAAAACUAUACUAAUAGGAGUUUUGAUUUCCCUUCUUCCUGUACUUUUUCUAUAUCACAAAGAAUUGUUCACGCCUUAUUUGUCCAUUUCGUGUUGACAUUUCAACUUGACCAUUACGAGAGCAGCAUGAUUUCAUUUAUGAUUAUUGUUGUUGUAGAGGUGUUAAAAAUAUAAAGGAUGAAAGUUGUAAUUUCAUGAAAGUACUUUGUAAUAUCAUCUUCCUUUGCCUGAUUGAUGUUGCUUUACAGUCUUAUUUGUCGGCAUUUUGUUCAGCGAGUUAAUGUUUUUUCCAUGUUGUGAGGUCAUAUAUGUUGCAGGCACAGAGCACCAAAGAUUUUUCCAUAGACACAAAAGCAAUGCUCCGGCUGUAGCAUCAAUUACACACACUCGUAUUUCCUAGGCUGCUAUAUAAAUAUGUACAAAAGGAUUGCUAUAUCAAAUACACAUUUAUGAUCAGUGCGUAUUAUCUUCCUUCUGACAAUGCUUACCCUGCUUAUAGUAAUCUACAUGGGCCUUGUUGGGGAUAUCACUACUGGGCGUAAACCGGCCUAUCUGGGCUGGGUUAACUUCGUCAGUAGUUAAGUAUGUUAAAGCCCAAGAAGGCAGAUGAGGGCUCAAGGCCCAUAGUCGGUUCAAGGCCUGUAGCCGUAAACCGGCGUUGGUAUUUAACUUGUAUUGUAAGUUCGGAAUAAGUAGAGACCAAACCGGACAUAUCUAUGAGCCGGUAUUGGGCCUCUGUGAACCGACGGACGUCACCCGUGUAUAUAAGGGGACGACCCGGCGGCGGUUCAUGGACAACAGACAACAACUCGAGACAUAGGCGAAGCUUGUUUGCUCCCUGGUCAUCGAAACCCCAUCAAUUCCAUCACAACUAGACGUAGGCUUUUACCUUCAUCGAAGGGGCCGAACUAGUAUAAACUCUCUUGCGUCCCUGUGUCUGCUUUAACCCCUUCAAGCUAACCCGCUGCGAUGGCUCCAAGACUAAGUCCUUUCUCUCGGACAUCUGCCGUGACAAAACCACGACAGUUGGCGCCCACCGUGGGGCUAUCGCACGAUGGUUUCAAGUUUUUGGAGGGCCGCUCUGAAGGACUUGAGGGCUACGCUGUAGGCCGGAUGAUUAAGAGUCGUCGCGGCAAGCUUUACAUCGACGAUGCAGGCUGGGGCCCCGAGGCCGGCUCAGUUGAGUACGGGUACCGGGUCCCCUUUGGUGGCAUACACGUUUUCAUCGGUAAGAUCAGAGAACCGGGCCCUGAGCCGGAUAUCUGCACCGACCUCGUCGAAACGGCUCAGCGUGCGCGAUCUGCCCGGGUUAAACCGUCCAUGAAGCGUGCCUUCGUGGGAGUCAUCCAUGUUGGAGGUCAUGAGGAUGGAUCGGGAUCUGGCGGCAAGACCGUCAUUUACUCCGGCGAUGAGUCAUCAACCGGAGAAACCGAAUCUCUAUAUCAGCUACAAGAUGGCCGGAUUGGUGGCUGUUCCGACGGCGACAGUAUUCCGGACCCCUCUGAUCUGCCCAACCGAGUUGGAAUAUUCAUGGCCGGCACACAAGCAGUGCUUCAUUCUUCGACCGCUGUGGCAACAACCUCCAGUUCAGCAGCGGCGACGGCUGCCGGGGCAGGAGGCCCUGUGCGCCCGCCGGCUCAAGUUCUAUCAGAGCUAUUUGAUGCAUUGGCUGUGCUUAUGGCGGAAGCUAAUCCGGCGGAUCAGGACGUCCACAACACGGAGAUUGCAAAGGUAAGGGAACAGAUCACCCAGGCCAAGGCGGACUUGGCAGCUGAGGAUACCAGGAUGGCCACAGAGCGGGCCGCUCUAGACGCACAAGUCUACAGGCUCAUGUUGGACCAGAACGCGUCGCAUGAAGUCAUGAGGAGGAAGUACCGAUCCCGUUUGCCUCCGGUUUUUGAGGCCAGAGACCUUUUCAACACCCCGGGAGCAGGAACCAGUAAUCCGCUGGAGGGAAACCGGGUGGAAGCUCCUGGGACUGGUGCGCCGGUUCAGCCUCGUCGGAUGGAUCCGCCUCGUCAAAACACCGUUAUACCUCAGGCUGUUUCAACACCUCCGGGUCACUACUCCAACCCAAUGGACAAUCUUGUCGCCGCUGCUGCACGGUUGGAGGCUAUUCCAAUUGAAGGUGACUCACCACAAGCGAUAGAGACGCGACGGGUCAAGGAGCUUCUUAGGACAGCUUUGGACCAAUAGGAAGCAUACUCGUACAACCGCGACCGGAUCCACUCGACCCCUCGCCCAAGCCGGAGCUAUAGGAGGCGUAUGGAGGAACCGGCAGUGUCAAGUAAUGAACGAUGUGGAGCACCCCGCGGCAACAACCCGGCGGGUGGUGCUGAUAACGCUCAGGAAGUGGUGAACCGGGCCCGAGCAUGCAGGGAGGCCGAGUUAGCCGCACAAUAUCAGGCUCGGCAGCUGACGCCGGUUUGUCCAACUAUUUCGGUCGAACCCGGUAUUACUUCUAGCUCUUUGGGGGUGCCUUGCCGUGUCCCCGCUUUAUGCAAUGUGCACCUGCCCAAGGAUUUCAAGGGCCCGCGCAAGGUACCAAAUUACACGGCGGAUCAACCCCUAGAGACAUGGGUGGAGAGCUAUGAGAUGGCCAUGGAGAUGCUGGAUGUGGAAUUAUGCGGCAUGUGCGAAAUACUUCACCAUGAUGCUUGAAGGAACGGCCCGCACUUGGUUAAAAAGCUUACCGGCCAAUUCUAUCAGUUCAUGGGCCCAAUUACGAACCCGGUUUAUCAAUAAUUUCAAGGAUACAUGUAAGCAGCCAAUGUCGAUAGUAGACUUAGCUGCCUGUGUCCAGGAGGAAGGAGAAUCGACGACUCAUUGGGUGCGCCGGGUCUCACAAGUGUUGCAUUCAUCAGACCUCAUCAACGCUGACACCGCAGUCUUAACCCUAGAAGGCAACUGCCGGUUUGGGCCCCUAAAGCUGAAGUUGGGACGGAUGAAGCGCCAUUGCACUGACAUGGGGACCCUCAUGGCUGCUUUGGUAAAGUAUGCUGAUUCUGAUAGUACCAAGGAUCUCGAAUCUGAUGAUGACAAGGCAGGGAAGGGAAAGAGGAACAGCAACUCCAAAGGUCAGCAGCAUCACCGGGUAGGCAAUGGUGGUGGAGGCAGGCGUAAAGAGGAUGGUAACAUGGACUUUGUGGCUAAUACCAACGCGCAGGACAAUGGCCAGCGAUGCAAGGGUAAACCGAAAAAUCGCAGUGGGGCACCCAACCCUAACCCGGACCGUCUAAAUUAUCUACUGAGCCAGCCCUGUCCAAGACAUGGGACGAAGGAGGUUCCAGCAAACCACCUUUGGAAGGAUUGCUUCAUUAUGCAGGAGUUCAAGAAUUCUAAUGCUUUCCGGUAUGAUCACGGCUCCGACGGUGGCUCAGGAUCCGGGCCGGGUUACGGUGGAGGAAAUCCCGGUUCAGGAUUUAACGGUAAUCCGGGCGGACAUAACAGUCAAAAUAAUCAUAACAACCAGGGUGGUUACAACCAGCAGCAGCAACAGUCAGGUUACUAGAGCAGCCCAAAGCAAUUGAGUAGUGGGCAGUACCAUGUCUUUACCACUAGCUUGGACAAGCGAGACCGGAAGGUUCAGAGGCGGGCAGUCAACUCUGUUGAACCGGCCGUGCCCUGUUAUCUACGCUGGUCUGAACAGCUAAUCAUAUGGAGCAGAGAAGAUCACCCUCCCUAGGUUGAUAAUCCGGGUCAGUUGGCUCUGGUGGUGGUGCCUCGGGUGGGAGGUUACAAGUUCACCAAAGUGCUCAUGGAUGAAGGGAGCAGCAUUAAUAUCUUGUACUAUGAGACCUUCCGUCGUAUGGGACUAAAAGAUAAAAAUCUCAAACCGUCUAAUACGGUGUUCCACGAUGUGGUACCUGGCAAGUCAGCAUAUCCUGUUGGUAAGAUAGCUCUAGAAGUGGCCUUUGGAGAUGACCAUGAUUCCAGGUCGGAAACAUUGACGUUUGAAGUGGUGAAAAUCCAAAGUCCAUAUCACGCCCUAUUUGGGCGACCGACCUACGCCAAGUUUAUGGCACGGCCAUGUUAUGUGUAUUUGCAGCUCAAGAUGCCGGGUCACAAGGGGACAAUAACGGUUCACGGAAGGCGUAAAAUUGCUUUGGAGUGCGAGGAAGAAGAUGCGGCCUACGCAGAGUCGGUUUGUGCCACCGAGGAGCUGAAGUAUUAUAAGGACAAUGUUGAUUCGGCGGACAUGACUCCAUUAAAGAAGCCAACUACGGAGCAUGAUCUAGCCCUGAAGUUCAAAUCGGCAGCAGAAACUAAGCUUGUUGACUUCGUACCUGGCGAUUCGUCCAAGCAGUUCAGCAUCAGUGCCAACUUGGAUCCAAAAUAGGAAAGCGCGCUCAUCGAGUUCAUCCGUGAGAAUCAGGACAUUUUUGCAUGGAAGCCCUCUGACAUGUCAGGUGUACCGAGGCAACUCGCUGAGCACACCCUUAAUGUGGAUCCUAAAUACAAAUUGGUGAAACAGUUCCUCCGCCGGUUUAACAAAGAAAGACGCAAGGCGAUUGGAGAAGAGGUAGCCAGGCUCUUAGCAGCUGGCUUUAUUGUUGAAGUUUUUCACCCUGAGUGGCUUGCCAAUCCGGUGCUGGUCCUUAAGAAAAACGGCACCUGGCGCAUGUGUGUGGAUUACACAGAUCUUAAUAAGGCUUGUCCAGCAGAUCCUUUUGCCCUCCCCCGUAUUGAUAAAAUUAUUGAUGCUACGGCGGGUUGUGAGCGUUUAAGUUUUUUGGAUGCAUAUUCUGGCUAUCAUCAAAUCAAAAUGGCAGUUAAGGACCAGGAGAAGACGGCAUUCAUAACUCCCUUUGGAGCCUUCUGUUAUGUGUCUAUGCCCUUUGGGCUCAAGAGUGCCCAGGCAACUUAUCAACGGUGUGUACAAAAUUGUCUUCACAAGCAGAUUGGCCGUAAUGUACAUGCUUACGUGGAUGAUAUCGUGGUUAAGUCCAGGGAAAAGGAGACUCUGGUUGACGAUUUGAAGGAAACCUUUGAUAACCUAAGGACGUACAAGAUGAUGCUUAAUCCGGCCAAGUUUGUCUUUGGUGUACCUGCAGGCAAGUUAUUGGGUUUUCUGGUGUCCAACUGGGGAAUUGAGGCUAAUCCGGAGAAGAUCACCGCCAUCACUUCCCUGGCUAAACCGAAGUGUAUCAAUGAUGUUCAACGACUGGCAGGCCGGAUUGCCGCGUUAAGCCGGUUUAUCAGCCGCCUUGGGGAGAAGGCAAUCCCUUUGUAUCAGAUGUUGAAGAAGACGGAUUAGUUCGUGUGGAGUUCCGCUGCUGAUGAAGCAUUUGAGGACUUAAAGCGGCAAUUGGCCAAUCCGCAUGUGCUUGCCGCUCCUAUUGACAAGGAGCCGUUACUGCUAUAUGUUUCUGAUAAUGCUCGUGCGGUCAGCGUCGCUAUUGUGGUGGAGCGAAAGGAGGCAGGUAAGGAGCAUCCGGUUCAACGUCCGGUCUAUUAUAUCAGUGAGGUACUCAUUGAGUCCAAGCAAAGGUAUCCGCAUUGGCAGAAGCUGGUGUACGGAGUUUUUAUGGCAAGCCGGAAGCUUAAGAAAUACUUCCAAGGGCACCCAAUUACGGUGGUCAGUUCUGCUCCUUUGGGGGAUAUCAUCCAGAACCGGGAAGCAACUGGCCGGAUUGCCAAGUUGGCUAUAGAGCUUGGGCCGCACGGAUUGAAGUAUGUGCCUCGGACGGCGGUUAAGUCUCAAGCACUUGUUGAUUUCAUCAAUGAUUGGACAGAACUGCAAGCACCUAAAGAAAAGCCGGAUCACACAUAUUGGACCAUCCAUUUUGACGGAUCCAGGCAAUUGGAAGGCUCGGGGGCUGGAGUCGUAUUAACUUCCCCACGAGGUGAUAAGUUUUGUUACGUUCUCCGCUUAAUGUUCCCUUGUACUAACAAUGCAGCUGAGUAUGAAGCCUUGCUCCAUGGUCUCCGGAUGGCUAAGGAGAUGAAUCUAAGUCGAGUUAAGUGCUUCGGUGACUCGGACCUCGUGGCUCAACAAGUGUCCAGCACUUGGGACUCCAGGGACCCACUCAUGGCAGCAUAUCAUCGUGAGGUGGAUACUGUUGCAGGUCACUUUAAGGGCUAUCAGGUGGACCACGUGGACCGACGGAAGAAUGAAGCGGCGGACGCCUUAAGCCGGCUAGGCUCUCAGCGCAAAUCGGUCCCGCCCAACGUUUUUCUGGAUGUGCUGCACAACCCGUCGGUCAAGCUCCCUGGUGAAGCGGAUUUGGCUAUUCCUGAUCCGGAGGCUCAAUUGGUGGCAGCUCUUCAUGUCAUUCCGGAUUGGAUGCUUCCUUACCUGGCAUACAUGAACCGGGGCGAGUUACCAGAGGAUGAGAUUCUGGCCCGACAGAUAAUCCGGUGGUCCAAGUCCAUGACUAUUGUCAAUGGCGAGUUGCAUCAUUGCAGUGUAUCAGGGGCGUUUCAACAUUGUGUGUCUCCUGAAGAAGGCUGUGAAAUUUUGCGUGAGAUCCACGAAGGAGAUUGUGGUCACCAUGCCGGUUCAAAAUCUUUGGUAGUUAAAGCGUUUCGCCAUGGCUUCUAUUGGUUAACUGCCCAUGCUGAUGCGGAGGAUCUGGUCAGACGAUGUGACGGUUGCCAAAAGUUUUCAAGACGUGCUCAGGUGUCGGCUCAAGAAUUGAGAAUGAUUCCAAUUACUUGGCCGUUUGUGACUUGGGGGCUGGAUAUGGUUGGGCCUUUCAAAAGGUCCAAAGAUAAGAAGACUCACCUCUUGGUGGCGGUUGACAAGUUUACAAAGUGGGUGGAGGCAGAACCUGUUAGCAAGUGUGAUGCAGCCACAAUGGUUCAGUUCAUCAAAAAAGUGAUUUUCCAGUUUGGCUUUCCACACAGUAUCAUCACAGAUAAUGGUACCAAUUUGUCCAAGGGUGCCAUGAUGGAGUUCUGCGAACGGGAGCAUAUCCGGCUUGACGUUUCAUCAGUGGCACACCCAUAGUCCAAUGGUCAAGCAGAAAGGGCUAAUCAAGAGAUCUUGAGAGGCAUCAAGCCCCGGCUCAUGGUUCCUUUGCAGAGAACGCCAGGUUGUUGGGUAGAAGAAUUACCAUCUGUGUUAUGGAGCAUCAAUACCACACCCAACAGAUCAACAGGAUACACAGCGUUCUUCAUGGUUUAAAGAGCGGAGGCGGUUCUCCCCAGUGAUAUCCAUCAUGAUUCACCUCGUGUGAUGGCUUAUGUUGAAGCGGACAACAAGACAGCACGGCAAGAUGCUUUGGACUGGUUGGAUGAAGAGCGUGACAUAGCAGCCGCCCGAUCGGCGAUUUACCAACAGGAUCUUCGUCGUUAUCACAGUCGCCGAGUCAGAACCAGAACCUUUCAGGAAGGAGAUUUGGUGCUUCGGCUCAUCCAAGAUCAGACUGAUAUGCAUAAGCUAUCCCCACCUUGGGAGGGGCCUUUCAUGGUCAGCAAGAAUCUGCCCAACGGGUCAUACUAUCUGAUCGAUAUUCGAGACAUAAAGACUCACGUACAUCAGAGGAGGAGACCAACAGGCCGUGGAACAUAGCUCAUCUUCGGCCUUACUAUACCUGAGCCAUUGGCUCUACUUAUGUACAUAUUACGACGAUGUAUAUAUUAUGAUUAAAUAUAAUAAACCGGAACCUCAGCUAAAGCGGGGUAUCUGUUCUUUUACAUCAUGUGUGGUUACACGGAGUAGUUCUAAAGCGGCCUCCGGUUUACCCCUUGGGUUAGCUUUUCAAAAGCAUCUUGUCAUAUCACUUGGGGGCUUGGUUGUGUCCGAACCAAUGCAAUACCUCUUGAUAGGCGAGAGCUACCAGAUCACUUGGGGACUUGGUCACGUCUGAACCAGUCAUGCCUCUUGAUCGGCCUAAGGCCACAGAAUCACUUGGGGGCUUGGUCGAACCCGAACCAUUGCCAUGCCACUUGAUCAGCAUAAAUGCCACGGUUUCAUUUGGGGACCUGGCUGACUUGAACCAUAGCUACACCUAUCGGGAGCUUGGUCGUGUUCGACCAUGGUAACGCCAUCUGAUCAGCUCAAAUAAGCCUCUUUUUGCAAACGGUUUUGCCAUUGCCUUUUCUUUACACUUUUCUUUGAAAGAUAUUUCUUUCUUUUUAUUGCGUUUUUUAAACCGACAAAAUUUUAAACCAGUUCACACUGUCUAUUGACGGAACAUGGUCCAUUUUUAAUCUGGAGACUAUUUGCUCGGUUUGAUUUUUUUUCCUAUUACGGAGUAACAUGGUGUUUAUUACAACCCGGCACGAUUUACACGGUAAACCGGCAUCAUAUAUAUAUAAGAGCUGCUAUCUCCUCCAAUAGUGUGGGUUUAUAAACCUCCGCUUCAAGAUUGGCCAAGCCAACUUCACGCCCAACGAUGGCAGGUAUUAUGUAUCUCAAAAAUUUGGUCAUAUACUUAAAUUUCAGAUGUUUUGAUUUCAUAUAUGCAGACAUCAUAUUCCGCAUGACGAUACAACCACGGUGGCACUUUAAGAUUUUUUAUUGCAGAAAGUACUUUGGAAAGUUCAUCACCCAAAGGAAGAGCAAGUUGCAGUAAUUAUGCACGAAGGCAUAUCAACAUCAAGAGUAUCAGCUAGCCUAUUACAAGGCAACACGGUGCCCACAAAUAAGAUCAUUUUUUCGCAAGGGAGAAGCAGUUUUAAACCAGCUUCCGGUUCAAGCUUGGUCACCAGCCUGGCCUGAUGGUUGUGGGUCAUCCGGCACCGCUUCAACUUCAGUUUCUCUACCCAGCGGCUGGAAAUCAACAGUUGUCCAGUCGAUUCCCAUUAAUGCUCGAAAGAUAGCUUCAUCAUGGAUCAGCAAUGACGGUUCAAUAUCGGGAGCGUAAGUACGCUUACGGAUUGGAGGGAUAAGAUUUUCCGUUUCAUGAGUUGGUGGAGCUACUCGCUUGUUUUGCUUGUCAUAUUGGGCCUGAUAAUGAGACAAGUCUGCUUCUUCAACCAAUUGACAAGCUAGCGGACGCACCUCUCGGUUUAUUGCUCGCAGAUCCGCUUCACUAAACUCUGACCCGUGUUCCUUCAAGCUGGGAUAGCCCUGAGCCGCUUCAAUAGGAUCAAAAUCCGACACCCAAGCUUUUGCCCAGAUUAAGGCAUUGAUCGCCGGUUCGAGCAGCAGAUUUCUUCAGCUCUUCAACCCGGGCAGGAAGCAUCGACAGUUUCGUCAGAGUGGGCGCCGGUUUGUUGUGGGAUGUAGUACAGAUGAUACGCUGUGCACCAGUGUACAGUUGUUCGAUCAACAUAUAGGCGGCUUUCAAUUUCUUCCGCACAUCUGACCCCAAGUGACCAAUGCGUUUCCCUGAAAUAUCAUAAAGGGUUAACAAACUGGUAGCUCUGUAAGACGGCACAAUCAAUUCAGAAGUCAAACCGGCUUACCAAAGAUAGCAGUGGUCAUGGCAUGCACGUGCCGCUUUAUGCUGGUCAGUUCAUCCGCCACCGGUUUUAGUGCAGCCUCGGCAUCUUCUGCUCGUUUGAUUAAAGUGGAUUUUUCAGUGGCCCAAUCCGCCCGCUUCUUCUUGAAGCUCUCCUUAAGUUGUUCCAUGACGCUUAAAGCGCUGGUUAAUUCUUCUUUUGCUUUGGAGGUUUCAGCUUGUUGGGAUUUCAGAUUUUCUUGGAGAUCGGCGACUUGGCUUUCUUUCGUCUUCAGCUCAGCCUGCAUGCAGACAGUUAUAUGAUUCAGCAAAACGGUACAAGGAUUGAAGUACCAACCACAUAACAAGUUAUGCACUUGGCACUUGGGGGCUAAUGCAUAUUCGAUCUUCAUCUUUCAAUUGCUUACAAAGUCCCAAGAUCAAUACAAGUAUUCAACUUGGCACUUGGGGGCUAAUGGCUAUUUGCUCGUAUAUAUUCUAAUGCCGCGAUAUCAAUUACUUAAAGUCCCGGUUUAACUACGCUAAGUUGAACCGACCCUUGGGGACUACAUCAGCGAAUUUCAAAGCAUUAAGAUUUAUAUUAGUAAGUCCCGGUUUGAAAGAAGAUUACAAAACGGCCCUCGGGGGCUAGGAGCGUCAACAAGAAUUGAAAUAUACAAGCAGGAAAGAGCAUAUGGAAGUUACCUCAUAUUUAUCUUUCAUCAUGUUAACCAGACCGGCUUCAUAGUCACGACUGGUAUACAGCCGGUUCAGGUAGCCGGAAUGGAUAGCUUGGGCGUUCAGAGUAGUGUAAGUCGCCAGAUCAGCAUUCCACUUGCCUUUGCCAAAGGCAGCAAAUUCUUCCUUGGCAGUAUGUUUGGACAAAGCGACAGGAUUGCUUGGCUCUGUAUGGCCAAUGCCAGUAAUGACAACCUCAUCAUCCUUGGCAUCGCCGGUUUGCAGUGGGGCUGUUGGCUUGUCAGUAGGCUUUGUCAGACCGGUGGAUUUCUCAAUCCGGAUGGAGCUUGUGGGCUGAUUGACAGGACUUGAGGUAUCAAUAGGUCUUUCUUCAGCAAUAAGAUCGUCGUCUUGCUGCGGUGGAUAAUUGGGUAUAUCCUCAGGAAUAGCCGCUUCAAGAUCUGGUGUUUUGCCCGGUUCAAGGACGGCAUUCUCUUCGGCCGCUUUGUCCAGGCGAGCCUUCUUGCUUGGCCUAGGCUUGGCCCUGAAAGGAAUAACAAAAUCAAAUACAGCAUAUGUUCCAAGGUGAUGUACUGCAAAUAUUAUGAUAAGUAUAGCUUACCCAAGCACCAUUUUGAGCGGUGGCAGCUGAGUAGCCGAUGACUCGCCAGAGGAUGAGUGGGAAGUAACCUGGUAAUCGGAGUCACAUGGAUUAAGAGGUUGACGAAAGCAGCCCACUUUAGGACAAGCACUGACAAGCAAAUUAGAGACCUCUGAACGGCGUUUCCGAACCGGACUGUUCGGUAAACCGACGGAGGUAACUACAUGGCUGCUGUGCCGGGUUGUGCGACGAGCUUUGUGCUGUUGGGUCUUCAUAAGAAAUUUGGGAUCCAAAUAAGCAAGAAGAUGAGAAAAUUUAACUUUCCGGUUUGCCUGACGGAUUUUUAGUGAAGGCAGAGGUUCUGAAUCGGAAGAGAGAAUAAUUACCUCUGCAGCAUCAGCAUGUCUGGCUUCGGCAUCAUCCUGACAAAUAUCAUCAUCAAUAAGACGCAUGAAAAAUAAGCCAAGUAAGUCAAGCCCUACCUCAAGGUUCGGAUCAUCCACAUCAUCAUCACAGCUUUAGUCUUUUGCCGGGUUGCUCUUUCCGGUUUGUCUGGUUUUUCUGGUUUCUCCUGCGGCAGUUUCUUGCUCCAAAACGGAUCAUUGCCCUGGUUACACAGACACUGAUAUUAAACAAUGACCAGAUAUAUCAAUAACAGACUCAGCAAAAAGAAAAAUCAAACUCUUACAGCUGGCGGUUUGUUGGUUGCACAGAAGGGAAGCAGGCCGGUUUUAGCACAGAUGUGUUCCGGUUCAUUCAGCAUCUUAUUCACAGCCUCUGUGAUUUCUUCGUCGGUGAGCUGGAUAUUGGCAUGUCGCAGUGGGUCAUCAACACUGCCAAUAUACUCGCACAUCAAACCGGAGCGCUGACUAAGGGGUAGUAUGCUCCAUGAUAUCCAACAGCGAGCGAGAUCAACCCCUGUUAAACCGUUGGCCAUAAAGGCUCUGAGCUUGGACAGUUGGGGAGCGUAUUUGCUUCUCUCUUUGGCAGUCAACCUUUGCGGAAAGGGGUGUGUAUUGCUAAGCCGCUCCGGACGAAAGCCAGGCAAAGGAUUUUCACCAGCAGGGGAGGUGUCUUUGCAAUAGAACCAUGUUUGAUUCCACUCUUUGGGGUCGCUAUGUAGCUUGGCAUGAGGGUAUGUGACAUCUUUCCUUUUCUGAAUCGCCACACCGCCCAAUUCCGUAUUGGAACCAUCAGAAAACUCAGUACGGCAGUUUAGAUGGAAACAGUCUCUGAACAACUCCACUGUGGGCUCCUCUUGAAAGAACGCCUCACAGAGCACUUGGAAGUGACACGUGUUUGUAACAGAGUUGGGACCAGUGUCUUGUGGGUGGAGUUGAAAAUCGGCUAAAACGUCCCGGUAAAAUUUAGAACCGGGCGGCUUAAAGCCCCAGGCUAAGUGAUCUACGAAAACGAUGACCUCUCCUUCUUGAGGUGUGGGAGGGCAUUCUUUGCCAGGAGCCCUCCAAUGGAUGGUAUCUUUGCUGCCUAAGGCGCCGAUCAGGACUAAAUCGUCCAGUUGAGCCUGUGUGACGCGAGAAGGAACCCAGUUGCACUCAUAUAUUUGCUUGGCCAUGAUGAAAUCUACAAGGUAGAUGAUCCCGGUUCAAAAAUGCAUUGAUUAAGGUACAUUGGUAUAUGCAAUGUUAAACCGGAGACAGAUCUAUCUAAACCAGAGUUUUAUGAAGCAACAACAUCUGGCGGUUCAACAAGGGGACUAAUGGUAUAUACAGGUAUGGCAAUUUUUUCUACAAAGUUAAACCGCCUGGUCUAAACAUUGAAGCAGAUGAGUAAGUUUAUAGAAACAGAUUUCAUAAGACUUCUCUAUAGCGACGGAUCUGAAGCAAGUUCAGAAAAUAAGGAAAAUAUUCAAGGUUCAAAAAAGAACAGUACUGAAUCAAUGGGCAGAGAUACAUAUAGAUCUAUGAUCUUGAGGCAUGAAACUGAAGGCGGAUGCUAAAAGCUACCGCUACACAGAGUAAGGAUUCACAGAUGCAUCUAGGAGUUAUCGUAUGAACAUGAAACAGGCGAUGAACACUAGAAGAACAUGAAGCCCUAGAGCAGAUAUGUGUUGAAAAGAACAGAAGACUUACUGGAGAUGAGAAAGACGCGGAAGGUUGCCGCGAUGCUCUGGUGCGCCCAGGUUGAUGCAGCGGCCAAGGUUGAUGCAGAGGUUGACGGUGGCGGCGGAGCUCCGAAGCUGGGCGACGCGAGGAAGACGAAGCAGAAGGGCACGGAGGGGAAAAAGAAAUGACCCUUCGGUCCUAUUUAAGGCAAGGGACAGGAGUCAGGCGCGAAAAUCAAGGGACCGUGGGUUUAGAAACGAAGAUGUCGCCUUAGUUGUCGCAGACCUAUUAAGGUCAUUUAUAACAGGUGACGUCACGCCGGUUUACAACGACCAGAGAAGAUGACAUCACGGUGGUUCAACAAACGACAAGGAUUCACAUGAACAUGUUCAAAUCAAUCUGGGGCCUAAUGUUGGGGAUAUCACUACUGGGCGUAAACCGGCCUAUCUGGGCCGGGUUAACUUCGUCGGUAGUUAAGUAUGUUAAAGCCCAAGAAGGAAGAUGAGGGCUCAAGGCCCAUAGUCGGUUCAAGGCCUAUAGCCGUAAACCGGCGUUGGUAUUUAACUUGUAUUGUAAGUUAGGAAUAAGUAGAGACCAAACCGGACACAUCUAUGAGCCGGUAUUGGGACUCUGUGAACCGACGGGCAUCACCCGUGUAUAUAAGGGGACGUCCCGGCGGCGGUUCAAGGACAACAGACAAAAACUCGAGACAUAGGCGAAGCUUGUUUGCUCCCUGGUCAUCAAAACCCCAUCAAUUCCAUCACAACUAGACGUAAGCUUUUACCUUCAUCGAAGGGGCCGAACUAGUAUAAACUCUCUCGCGUCUUGUGUCCGCUUUAACCCCUUCAAGCUAACCCGUCGCGAUGCCUCCAUGACUAAGUCCUUUCUCUAGGACAUCUGCCAUGACAAAACCACGACAGGCCUGGUUCCUUUUAAUAUCAAUAUUUGUCAUCAGAUUCUGAUAUACAUUGUUUCAGUCCAAAAUGUACAGGGUGGACAUUUUCUACAUUUAAUUUCGACUAAGACUUUCUUUUCUUGGUGGUAUGAUCACUUAUCAGCAAUUUGAUGGUUAUCUAUAUAUGUUGAAUUUUCAUAGCAUUUUAACCUCCGAUAUCAAUAUAUUUUCAUAAUAUAAAUUGUUCAAUUUCAUUUCCAAUGUAUUUUACUCAUAUAUUUUUAUUAUUUCAUAAUAUGAAUGGUAUGACAAAUAUAUGAUUUAGUCUUUUGCAAAAAAAAAUCUUGACUUGUGUAUUUUUCAAAAUUCCUUUCAUUCUUUUAAAAAUAGACGGGCGCGGCAACGCGCGCCAUCAAUGAUCUAGUCAUAAGUGAUGUCCCGACCAGAUUCUUUCAACGUCAAUGAUUUUACUUUUUGGCAAGAUACUUUGGAGGUACGUAAAGCUAUAGAUCAGCGAUGGAUCAACGUUGAGGUCAGGUAAAGAGGCGAUUUGUCCACUUCUUCUAGGGUGGCCGCUACGGUGGUGCCGGAGUGUCAGGACCCCGACUCAAUGCCACAUCGAUCUAGCAUGUAACACCUCAUAUCACUUUGCGGCCUCACGCACGGUAUUCCCACGGGUGUCGCCUUACCUUUGCCCGGGACCAUUUGCGCCUUUUGGCACACGUAUAUGACAGUGUCGCUAGCAUCCAUAUGAUAAGGAGCCCGGGCUGACAUGGCUAGUCGUAAACCCAAAGUGGCACAAACUUACAGGGACAGGCAUCCAUGACCCAGCAUCGAACGUGUCGGUCAUCAGCGAGUGAAUCCAGGCUGUAGCACUGGGCUAGCAGGACUCCGGUGAACCGGGCUGUAGCAGGCUAACAGGACUCCGGUAUUCAUCGCGUGACAUUUCCCCGAAGGGACAGACACAGGAACGAAGAAGGACACAUGCCGGCCAACCUAAGUGUUCCGGAGCAGUAGCAAGCUACCAUGGCUCAGUGGAAACACAAGGAGACAUUUCCCGGUAAGAGAGGCUACUAAAGAUAAACAACUAGAUGGUCAGAUCCCACACAUACCAAGCAUUUCAAUAACAUACACACAAUAUGCUCGAUAUGUGCAAUACAACAUGGCAUCACAAAAUGACUCUACGACUCAAGUAGUUUAUUCAAUAGGCUCCGAGGAGCGAGAUAUUACAAACAUGGGUCUCAUGACCCAACACUCAGAGCAUACAAGUCAAAGCACAAGCGGAAGCUAUCAUGUCUGAGUACAGACAACUAUAAAUGGAAAAGGCUGAGAAGCCUGACUAUCUAUCAGAUCCUGCCGAGGGCACAAGAUCGUAGCUGAGGUAUCAAGCUAAACGUCGAAGACCACGCGGAAUUACUAGUGAGACUGAAGUCUCUCUGCAAAAACAUAAAAUAGGCAAACGUGAGUACAAAUGUACCCAGCAAGACUUACAUCAGAACUAACUACAUAUGCAUCAUUAUCAACAAAGGGAUGGUGGGGUUUAACUGCAGCAAGCCAGCUUUGACUCGGUGGCUAUCCUAAACUACGACUGCAAUGUAACUCUUUUGAGGUGGCGCACACGAGUCCACAUAUUCACCAUAGCAAUACACCACUAUGGAUCCGCUCCCGUCCCCCUACGAGAACGCCAUCCAUAGCACUCACGCUUAUCUUGCGUAUUUUAGAGUAUCCACUUUCACUUGUCUAUGAACUGAUAUAAGCAACCCAGAAGUCCUUUUCCGUGGACACGGCUAUUCGAAUAGAUGAUGAUAACCCUGCAGGGGUGUACUUCUUCAUACAUGUUUCCACCACUUAGCGUCUGCACACGACAUGUGCUCGGCAGACUUCAAGCGAAAGCCGACGUGGGUGUAGACCACGACCUACCUAAACACUCAAGUCUCUAGUCCAGGUUUAUCGCCUAUUCGGGUUCCAUCCAUGAGGAGAUCCGGCCGGAGUUGCGCUCACAGCCCCAAACGAUGUGAACAGGGUUCCGUGACACCAAACGGGCGCCCGGUUUACCCGGCCACGUGCCUACCGCAUCACAGCCCACCCCUACGGUCAGCGCUGUCCACGGCCUCCAGCAUACUACAAACACCAGAAACUACUUGCAACUCCUGGACAGAGGACGAGGGUGAAUAAGAAGUCGAGCGGGGUCAUAUUUCAGGGCCCAAUGUAUGGUAGUAGCUGAAUCAUGGAUCACAAACACAGAACUCAGUUCCUAAGGACGGCUUCAAUGAGACAACCCACCAUGUACUCCUACAUGGCCUCUCACCGCUAGCUUUACCAAAUCGUAUUCACACACUUAGCUCACACACAGUAGGACAUGUUCACACACCUCUGAUUCAUCCCGGAUGAAUCAGACCUGACUCGACUCUAAGCAGUAGCAGGCAUGACAAACAAGCAUGAAUGAGUAGGCACAACAGGGCUCAAACAACUCCUACUCAUGCUAGUGGGUUUCAUCUAUUUACUGUGGCAAUGACAGGUCAUGCAAAGGAUAAAGGGGUUCAGCUACCGCAGCAAGUAACAGAUGAAUCGGUGUUGUCCUAAUGCAUUAAAAGAGAGCAGGAGCGAGAGAGUAGGAUUGUAUCGGAAUGAACAAGGGGGGUUUUGCUUGCCUGGCACUUCUGAAGAUAACAUUGAGUCUUCAUCAGUGUCAACGAUCACAUCAUCGGUAUCACGUCUAUCGAGAGGGGACAAAUACCGGCAACACAGAAGGGAACACAAUCAAUGCAAUGUACAAUAUGAUGCAUGAUCAUGACAUGGCAAAAUGAAUGUGUUUUGGGCUAAUGCAACUAGCAACAGAAUAAAUGAAGUUGGUUUGAAUAUAAAAUUCAAAUUCAAACUCCAUAUGUGAUUAUUCAAAUGCCAUUUAUAUGAUUUGUGCUAAACAGCAUCUAUAAGUUGUUCUAACAUGCAUGAAAAUGGUACAGAUGGAUUCCUUGAAUUUUUCUGAUAAUUUUUCAUAUAUAAAUUAUUUAAUUUGGAGUUACGGUUAAUUUUCUAUGAUUUAUUGAAGUUUUAGGCAUUUUCUGGAAUUUCCUGAAUAUAAUUAAAUCCAGAAAAUACUUAUGACAUCAGCACUGCGUCAUGCUUGCAUCAGCAAGUCAACAGGGCUGCCCCGGGUCAAACCUGACCAGGGGGUCCCAUUAGUCAGUGACUUAGGGCUCGUUUAGGUCGCUGGCAGGUGGGCCCGGUCAACAGACACAUCAGCCUGGUCAACUCCGACGUGUGGGGUCGGUCAAAGUGUGACGGGGCCAGGUCAAACUGACCUAUGGGGCCCACAAAAUUAGUACUAAUUUAAACAGAAAUUAAGCUAAUUAACUUUGGCACCGGGGCCCACGUGACAGUGGCACCAGGGGGUGAUUACCGGGGUGUUUAGGACCUAGUUAAGUGGCCACGUCGGCACUCGCCGGGGUUCAGCCGGCGACAACCAAACCAACGGCGGAGGCUCGCCGGAGUUGAGCUACAGGCAAUGGUUGGACGCGCGGAGGCCACCAGGAGGUAGCCCGUGCUCUUCCGCAUCCAACGGAGCAGGAAGGAGCGGACGGGGUGCGGUGUACUCACCGGAGUCGAGCUCGCGGCGGCGGCCGGAGCUCGGGCAACAGCGGAAAUGGUGCUAUAGGGCAUGGCAGGGAGCACCCGUGGUUGUUUCGGGUUCGCAGGAGCGCGGUGAGCACGCUGGUGAUGCUCGGGCGAGCGGCCGAGCUCACGUGCACGGAGCUCGUUGACCAUGGCGGCGGCGAGCCUCGGUGGAGGUGGGGAAGCUAGCUAGGGGAGGGGAACGACGGGGAUUCCAGGGGGAAAAUGGAGAGUGGCUCACGUAGGGACUAGCAGGGUCGACGACGAGGUCGGGGAAGCUCUGGACGACGCGAAUCGGAUGACGGCGGUCGUCGGGGCAGAGGACGAAGAUGGCGAUGUUGCAGUCGUCUGUGGCCUUCUCCGUCCGCGUGCGUCAUCUUGGAGACGAAGCAGAGUCCGGCGGUGACACAUGACCCAUCGGUGAAGCCUGGGGUGCGCGGUGGCUAUGGAUGCGACGGCGGCGCCCUCCGGUGGCUCUCGGUGGUGCUCCAAAUCGAGAGAGGGAGAGAGCUAGAGCGAGCAGAGAGAAGGGAUAGCGGUCGAGGCGGUCGAGGGCAUUCCAACGGUGCACUGGAGAGGUCGGGAGCGGCUGGGACACGUCGAAGCAGGAGGUGGCGACCGGCGACGCACGCUCUGCCACGACUUGUCCUCCUGGCGAGGGGUUGAAGACAAACCUGCCCCUCGCUAGGUUGGGCUGGGCUGGCUCUAGUGGACUGGGCUGCUGGUGGGCUACCAGGUAAGGCCAGGUAAGUUCUACUCCUUUUAUUUUUUUUUCUGUUCUGUUUUCUAUUUUGUUCUGUUUUGUUUUAGUUUAGUAAAAUACUAAACCAUUUUAAUAAAUUCUGUAGUUUAUUAUGUGGCUUACUAAAAUAUAUACAAAGCCACUCACAAACUUCCAGAAUUAUUUGGAGUCAUAUUUAAUAUAUAUUAAAUAUAAAUCCAAAGCAAACAGUUAUUGGAUUAAUUCAAAUGGCCAAAAUAAAUAUCUCUGUGACUCCAAAAAUAUUGGUUUAAAUUUUACCUCUCACCAAUAUUUCCAUGGAAUAACAGGAACAUUUUCUUGGACUCAUUUGAUGAAAUUUAAAUGUUGGUUAUUUUUAGAGGUCUUCUGAGGCUUUGAAAAUUCCUCAAUUCAAUUUCAUUUGAAUUUAAACAUGAUGCUCACAUGAGGUCUAGCCUAGUGCAUUACCAGAAGCUAGGGAUGUGACAACUCACCCCCACUAAACAAGAAUCUCGUCUCGAGAUUCAAGCGUAGGGUAGGCUGAAGGGGAAGCGCAAACUAGUACAAUCUUCACGAUCCAGGUUGCACUUCAAAUGAACGUUGAUUCGAUCACCAUUAUUGUCUUGUCGUCUUGCUCUGAGAACUCCAGCUAAUCAUGACAGCAAGAGGAAAAGGACAACUCCGGAAGAAUCGAUCUUCUCGAAGGUCGAACAACUCAGGAUUAACUCACGGAAUGAGACAUAGCAACAUCUCUCGAGCUGAGAGGCGAAGCACACAUCCAUAGGAAUGGAGUGAAGCAGAUGACGAAGGUUCACUAGGUAGACCACAAUUUCACGCUUAAGAAGGUGGUGAACGGUUGUCAACAUAGCAAGGAGUUGAGUUGCCAUGAUACCACGACGAAACAUCCUGGAGGAGGGUGAUUCGUAGAUUAUUAUCUUAAGUGGCAAAAAGAAUUACUUUUGAUUCAGAGAUCAUCGGAACUCUUUAUACCAGCCUAAGGUAAUCACAAGCGAUCAUUUGGAGGGGGUCGGUAGAAUGGCAUACUCGGACUUGGAUGAUGUGGAUUACCUUGUUGAAAACAACGUAAUGGAUGAAUUUUGCUUAUCACCGGAAAUGGAAGAGACCCAUGGUAGAAUGGCACAUUGGCGGUGCAAGCUGGGAACAAAAUGCAAAUGCUGGGAAUGAUUCUGGUAACUGGGGAAGAACCCAACAAUAGAGAGUGAAUUAACUGGUUGAAAAGGUCAUAACAUUGCCGAGGAAACUGAGAGGAAUCCUAGUUAGAGCCGAUGGUAACACGUAGCGCUUGUACGUGCUUUCAAGAACUUGAGCAUUUCCACAAUCAUCAAGGUUCUACCAAUAUCCGUGUCAAGGAUCCUGGCAACACAGCUUGCUACCAUGACGAAUGAUGAUGGAUGAUGCAGAUGCAAAGGAAGAUAAUACUUUCUCAGAUUUCACCUUAGCGAGGCCAAGGAAAUAAAAUCUGGAUGAUCGACCGAGAGACAUUUAGCACUCCGCUUCUAAUGUUCUCCUUGACGUGCUAGUGUAACCAUUCAUAGAUAUGGUUUGCUAACUAGAACAUCAAGUAAAGGUCGGACUUCGGGAGCAAUAGAAUCCAUAAGGAACAGUUACGGCGGUAAUCCUGCGAAAUCCUUAUGGGGAGGUGGCCAACUUCCUCAAACAAGAUACUACAAUAAGAAGUCUUCCGGCUGGGUGUGUUGGCCACGACAUCCAAUUUACCGGUUAUCGAGGAACCAAUAUUAUAGUUCUUGGGAGAUAUUCCAACCAUCAUAUCUGCCUGAGACUCAGAUCUGGUUGGUGUCAGGAUAUUCCAGACUCAUCGAGUCUAGGAAGAAAAAUGAAAGUUUGCAACACAAAUCGACGAGAUGACGUUGCGAGAUUCUCAGGAAAUGAACUACGAUAGCAAGCUCCAAAACAUGAGCUGGUUCUGCUACAAACAUGUCAAACACGUUGUCCCAGACAAGCAUACCCACAUGGUAGUCUUACAAUAAAACACUACCGAGUUCUGGUUGGGAACCAUCAUUGAGGAUAUAGGAAUCUUGUGCAGGAACUAGUAUUUGCACAGCAACUCCUUUACCUUGAACAAAUCAGUCAGUGGCUUGGUGUGCUAGGGAUACAUAUAGAAUGAAGGUUGCAAGUCUCCAGACCACAGAAUACUUCGCACAUGUGUAUGACUGACUUGGGAUGAUUCCAGAGGAAGCAAAACUAACUUUCUCAAAUUCACGGCGGCAACUUUCACCAAAUGCACGUGUAUAAGAGGAAGUCACUCCUUUCAUCAAACAAAUACUUCAUGAGCUAGCAUGAAGAAAAUGCUUUCAAAAGUUUCCAACACUAGCUUAAUGCUCAGCAAAAUUAUGGAGAAGGCAAGGAUGUUGUCAAUGGGCUCAACAACAAUUCUUCUGGGUUUCCUUUCAAAAGGAAUUCCAUAGUUAAGUGAACAAGUGAUAGCAUUGGUCAGACCUAAAAGAUAUAAUGGUGUAUGCACGAGGGAUCAACCACGAAUAAGACAACAUUACGAGCAUCGUUGGUACUGAUUUGAUUUGACGAUAGCCCACACUCAAAUCAAAGGAUUGAUAAGACAAUAGGUCCAGCAACUGAUCACAGGGACCAAUCGAUGAAGAUAUCAUCUUUCUUCAACACACACUACACAAGAAUAUCCCUUUGGAACGAACUAAGUCAGACAAGCUUUUAUCUUCCACUCUCCAAGUCGUUGUCUAACUUAACCAACUAGCUCAGGGAUAUCCAACACAGAUUCUUGGAGAAGGAUGGUUCACAAAAAACCAACUUGAUCACGAGCUCAACAUAGCGGUCAGGUGACAACCUGGUAAUACUUCUGAGAAGAUAUUCAGAGAAUCACGAGCCACCGAUAUGUUACUAAGCUCGAGAACAAUCUUGCUUUUCAGGGCAAGACGAUAUGAUCAAUAGAGCAAGAAUUUGAGAUAAUCCUAACUCAUCGAUCGAGGAGUGAACCAGGAGAAUGGACUAGGUAGCACGAUCAAUCUUAGAAUGAUGAUUCAAAAACCAACAUACUAAGAAUAAAAUUAUUAUCCUUUAACUACCAAGCAACGAGGUUGCUGGGAGUAUUGAUCUCACACAUCACAACUCAUUUGUCGGUAUUCCGGUUGCAUCAACACGAGGGCCGAGGAAUGACUAAUGAUGGUGAGAAGUAUCACUGUACCAAGAGUUCAUAGGAUGGUGUGCAAUUCCUAUAACAAUCUCGAUAUAGAAUAAGGUAAUACUCCAAGGUAGAACAGAACCAAAAGCUGGAUUAGCAAUUUGAUCUGCGGAGCACAACUUCUUUGACCCAAUCCUGGAUAUGGAAGAGGUACUGGAGUUUGUUUCUCCAAGUCAUUCAGGACAGAAUGGCUUGACGGACCACAAGAGUAAUAGACAUCGAUGAACGAAUGCAUGCAUACUCUUGACUAUCAAUUGAUAGACGAGGGUCAGAAUGCAACUAAAGAGAACAACUCAAAGGAACAUAUAAUUUUCUGAGUUGUGGAUGCAUAGAUUAGUAUGUCGAACCAAGUUCAACAUAUUUCUUCCGGAUAACCCAUGCAGAAAGGUAGAACUGGCAGAGUCACGAUUUAUGAAUGGAGAACUCCUCAAGAGUACUCUAAUUGUGAUCUUUUGAUCCAAUAAACAUCUGCCAUAAGCGGUUCAUAGUAUUUGGAAGAAGGAAAUACCACGGACCUCGAGGACUAUCGCAAAGUUACUAAUAUCCUAAAGGCACUAGCAAUUACUAUCAACAUGAAGUAAGUAGGGUGAAUCUCGGGUUCAAACCCAGGAAUAGAAUACCUACUACUAAGUAGCAUCACGGGAUGCUUUCGAGAAUGAUGGCCAGAAUCAUCACACUGGGAACACAAAUCCUGGCUAAUUACUAGAUGAUCCCCUAAGACACCUAGGGUCAUAAUAGUAACUCCAAUAUAAUGUCAAGGCAAUAGAAUACCUCAACUCAACAAUUAGUGUGAUUGAGCUGGCAUAAAGGAACAUCGAAACCAGAGGGAAAGGAUUUUGCAAAUGCAUCAGACUAUUUAGAAACCUGGGAUGACUCGGACAGCAUAACGGCUGUAAAUGCUCAGAAAAGAUUUGAGACAUUCACAAAAAUGGUGGCAUAACCACUCAGAAGCACAAUAUCAAGGUUUCGAGAUCAUCAGUUAACAUACAUAAGUAGUAGGAACUGGACUCAAGCUUAACGAACAAUCUUAUAAGUCUACGGACUAGUAAUACGUGAUCCUGAUAGAAAGAAGAGAAAGCCUAGUUUCUUAACCCCGUAGGAAAGAUAAGAUGACUCAGAUCAGAAGGCCAUGAGGUAUAAGGAGUAAAAAGAGCCUUACGUUCCAUCCCACAAUCAAUUCCCUUAUAUAACUAAAGAAUUUCUAGACUCAACUUCGACCAGUUUGGCUUGGUAAUCCUACAGGCAGUCAAGCUCUGAUACCAACGCUGUCAGGACCCCGACUCAAUGCCACAUCGAUCUAGCAUGUAACACCUCAUAUCACUUUGCGGCCUCACGCACGGUAUUCCCACGGGUGUCGCCUUACCUUUGCCCAGGACCGUUUGCGCCUUUUGGCACACGUAUAUGACAGUGUCGCUAGCAUCCAUAUGAUAAGGAGCCCGGGCUGACAUGGCUAGUCGUAAACCCAAAGUGGCACAAACUUACAGGGACAGGCAUCCAUGACCCAGCAUCGAACGUGUCGGUCAUCAGCGAGUGAAUCCAGGCUGUAGCACUGGGCUAGCAGGACUCCGGUGAACCGGGCUGUAGCAGGCUAACAGGACUCCGGUAUUCAUCGCGUGACAUUUCCCCGAAGGGACAGACACAGGAACGAAGAAGGACACAUGCCGGCCAGCCUAAGUGUUCCGGAGCAGUAGCAAGCUACCAUGGCUCAGUGGAAACACAAGGAGACAUUUCCCGGUAAGAGAGGCUACUAAAGAUAAACAACUAGAUGGUCAGAUCCCACACAUACCAAGCAUUUCAAUAACAUACACACAAUAUGCUCGAUAUGUGCAAUACAACAUGGCAUCACAAAAUGACUCUACGACUCAAGUAGUUUAUUCAAUAGGCUCCGAGGAGCGAGAUAUUACAAACAUGGGUCUCAUGACCCAACACUCAGAGCAUACAAGUCAAAGCACAAGCGGAAGCUAUCAUGUCUGAGUACAGACAACUAUAAAUGGAAAAGGCUGAGAAGCCUGACUAUCUAUCAGAUCCUGCCGAGGGCACAAGAUCGUAGCUGAGGUAUCAAGCUAAACGUCGAAGACCACGCGGAAUUACUAGUGAGACUGAAGUCUCUCUGCAAAAACAUAAAAUAGGCAAACGUGAGUACAAAUGUACCCAGCAAGACUUACAUCAGAACUAACUACAUAUGCAUCAUUAUCAACAAAGGGAUGGUGGGGUUUAACUGCAGCAAGCCAGCUUUGACUCGGUGGCUAUCCUAAACUACGACUGCAAUGUAACUCUUUUGAGGUGGCGCACACGAGUCCACAUACUCACCAUAGCAAUACACCACUAUGGAUCCGCUCCCGUCCCCCUACGAGAACGCCAUCCAUAGCACUCACGCUUAUCUUGCGUAUUUUAGAGUAUCCACUUUCACUUGUCUAUGAACUGAUAUAAGCAACCCAGAAGUCCUUUUCCGUGGACACGGCUAUUCGAAUAGAUGAUGAUAACCCUGCAGGGGUGUACUUCUUCAUACAUGUUUCCACCACUUAGCGUCUGCACACGACAUGUGCUCGGCAGACUUCAAGCGAAAGCCGACGUGGGUGUAGACCACGACCUACCUAAACACUCAAGUCUCUAGUCCAGGUUUAUCGCCUAUUCGGGUUCCAUCCAUGAGGAGAUCCGGCCGGAGUUUCGCUCACAGCCCCAAACGAUGUGAACAGGGUUCCGUGACACCAAACGGGCGCCCGGUUUACCCGGCCACGUGCCUACCGCAUCAUAGCCCACCCCUACGGUCAGCGCUGUCCACGGCCUCCAGCAUACUACAAACACCAGAAACUACUUGCAACUCCUGGACAGAGGACGAGGGUGAAUAAGAAGUCGAGCGGGGUCAUAUUUCAGGGCCCAAUGUAUGGUAGUAGCUGAAUCAUGGAUCACAAACACAGAACUCAGUUCCUAAGGACGGCUUCAAUGAGACAACCCACCAUGUACUCCUACAUGGCCUCUCACCGCUACCUUUACCAAAUCGUAUUCACACACUUAGCUCACACACAGUAGGACAUGUUCACACACCUCUGAUUCAUCCCGGAUGAAUCAGACCUGACUCGACUCUAAGCAGUAGCAGGCAUGACAAACAAGCAUGAAUGAGUAGGCACAACAGGGCUCAAACAACUCCUACUCAUGCUAGUGGGUUUCAUCUAUUUACUGUGGCAAUGACAGGUCAUGCAAAGGAUAAAGGGGUUCAGCUACCGCAGCAAGUAACAGAUGAAUCGGUGUUGUCCUAAUGCAUUAAAAGAGAGCAGGAGCGAGAGAGUAGGAUUGUAUCGGAAUGAACAAGGGGGGUUUUGCUUGCCUGGAACUUCUGAAGAUAACAUUGAGUCUUCAUCAGUGUCAACGAUCACAUCAUCGGUAUCACGUCUAUCGAGAGGGGACAAAUACCGGCAACACAGAAGGGAACACAAUCAAUGCAAUGUACAAUAUGAUGCAUGAUCAUGACAUGGCAAAAUGAAUGUGUUUUGGGCUAAUGCAACUAGCAACAGAAUAAAUGAAGUUGGUUUGAAUAUAAAAUUCAAAUUCAAACUCCAUAUGUGAUUAUUCAAAUGCCAUUUAUAUGAUUUGUGCUAAACAGCAUCUAUAAGUUGUUCUAACAUGCAUGAAAAUGGUACAGAUGGAUUCCUUGAAUUUUUCUGAUAAUUUUUCAUAUAUAAAUUAUUUAAUUUGGAGUUACGGUUAAUUUUCUAUGAUUUAUUGAAGUUUUAGGCAUUUUCUGGAAUUUCCUGAAUAUAAUUAAAUCCAGAAAAUACUUAUGACAUCAGCACUGCGUCAUGCUUGCAUCAGCAAGUCAACAGGGCUGCCCCGGGUCAAACCUGACCAGGGGGUCCCAUUAGUCAGUGACUUAGGGCUCGUUUAGGUCGCUGGCAGGUGGGCCCGGUCAACAGACACAUCAGCCUGGUCAACUCCGACGUGUGGGGUCGGUCAAAGUGUGACGGGGCCUGGUCAAACUGACCUAUGGGGCCCACAAAAUUAGUACUAAUUUAAACAGAAAUUAAGCUAAUUAACUUUGGCACCGGGGCCCACGUGACAGUGGCACCAGGGGGUGAUUACCGGGGUGUUUAGGACCUAGUUAAGUGGCCACGUCGGCACUCGCCGGGGUUCGGCCGGCGACAACCAAACCAACGGCGGAGGCUCGCCGGAGUUGAGCUACAGGCAAUGGUUUGACGCGCGGAGGCCACCAGGAGGUAGCCCGUGCUCUUCCGCAUCCAACGGAGCAGGAAGGAGCGGACGGGGUGCGGUGUACUCACCGGAGUCGAGCUCGCGGCGGCGGCCGGAGCUCGGGCAACAGCGGAAAUGGCGCUAUAGGGCAUGGCAGGGAGCACCCGUGGUUGUUUCGGGUUCGCAGGAGCGCGGUGAGCACGCUGGUGAUGCUCGGGCGAGCGGCCGAGCUCACGUGCACGGAGCUCGUUGACCAUGGCGGCGGCGAGCCUCGGUGGAGGUGGGGAAGCUAGCUAGGGGAGGGGAACGACGGGGAUUCCAGGGGGAAAAUGGAGAGUGGCUCACGUAGGGACUAGUAGGGUCGACGACGAGGUCGGGGAAGCUCUGGACGACGCGAAUCGGAUGACGGCGGUCGUCGGGGCAGAGGACGAAGAUGGCGAUGUUGCAGUCGUCUGUGGCCUUCUCCGUCCGCGUGCGUCAUCUUGGAGACGAAGCAGAGUCCGGCGGUGACACAUGACCCAUCGGUGAAGCCUGGGGUGCGCGGUGGCUAUGGAUGCGACGGCGGCGCCCUCCGGUGGCUCUCGGUGGUGCUCCAAAUCGAGAGAGGGAGAGAGCUAGAGCGAGCAGAGAGAAGGGAUAGCGGUCGAGGCGGUCGAGGGCAUUCCAACGGUGCACUGGAGAGGUCGGGGGCGGCUGGGACACGUCGAAGCAGGAGGUGGCGACCGGCGACGCGCGCUCUGCCACGACUUGUCCUGCUGGCGAGGGGUUGAAGACAAACCUGCCCCUCGCUAGGUUGGGCUGGGCUGGCUCUAGUGGACUGGGCUGCUGGUGGGCUACCAGGUAAGGCCAGGUAAGUUCUACUCCUUUUAUUUUUUUUUCUGUUCUGUUUUCUAUUUUGUUCUGUUUUGUUUUAGUUUAGUAAAAUACUAAACCAUUUUAAUAAAUUCUGUAGUUUAUUAUGUGGCUUACUAAAAUAUAUACAAAGCCACUCACAAACUUCCAGAAUUAUUUGGAGUCAUAUUUAAUAUAUAUUAAAUAUAAAUCCAAAGCAAACAGUUAUUGGAUUAAUUCAAAUGGCCAAAAUAAAUAUCUCUGUGACUCCAAAAAUAUUGGUUUAAAUUUUACCUCCCACCAAUAUUUCCAUGGAAUAACAGGAACAUUUUCUUGGACUCAUUUGAUGAAAUUUAAAUGUUGGUUAUUUUUAGAGGUCUUCUGAGGCUUUGAAAAUUCCUCAAUUCAAUUUCAUUUGAAUUUAAACAUGAUGCUCACAUGAGGUCUAGCCUAGUGCAUUACCAGAAGCUAGGGAUGUGACACGGAGUUGAGUGACGAGCAUUGGUAUCUUGCUCAAGGGUUUCUUCAGCCGAGAUUGUAAUUUUCUUUCUCGAGUAGCUAAGGAUAGUUUUUGCAAUAGCUAGGGUUGUCGUAUCUUUUUUGGUUAUGUCAAGUUGGUUUUUCAGUGGAUCGUAAUUUGAUAUUUAUUUUAUAAAUGAGACACACAUUACAUCGAGAAAAUAAUCAAGGCUACAGAUCAACAUGACCUCGUCUGUCCCGCAUGACCGCUCAGGACCUGUGUAGUGCGUACGCCGGAUCGUAUGCUCAUACAUGAUAUUAGAGCAACUCUAGCAGACCCCGCAUCCCGUCCUGAUCCGCAAAAUAACCGCCAAAGUGCGGGUCGGGGCUUGAAAAACGUCCCGAUCAGACCCCGCAUCCUGCCUCGGCCCGCAAAUGUUUUUGCAGGGUGCGGCAAAACAUCUCCCCCAACCUCUAGAUUCAUGGGCUAGAGGGACGACCCGAGCUCAGCCCCUAUCCGCAGCGAGAUUUGGCGGGAGGGACAUUUCCGCGCGGCCAUUCCCGCUCCCCCCCGCCCUCCGCCACCAUUGCCCCGCCAUCACACGCUCCCUAGCAGUCCUUCCCUGCCAUGGAUGACUCCCUGUUGUCCCACGUCACCGUCGAGGUCGCUGGUGCUCCUUCUCCUCGGGCGGAUCUCGUCGCCAGCCCAAUUGGCCCCGCUGUUGCCCAAGGUCAAGUCGCGCCUGCCCGCAAGCGGCAGGGCAACAUGGUCAUGCAGGGCAGCGCUCCGGCAGUCCCCGCUGCGAGGGCCCGCGCUCCGGCCACCAACGCUGCUGCGCAAUCUCCGCCGGCGGCGGAGAAGGUCGCCAAGGUCGCCGGCGUCAAGAGGAAGAAGAUUCCAGCCACAAACAAGCCGCCUCCUUCAUCCGCUCACUCCGGCCCGGAAAGAGGUGCCCCGGCGAUGCCGCUCAACGGUGCUGCUCCCCCCCGCAAGCUAUGUGUCUUUGGUCAUGGCAAUUUUCUUUGCUUUUCGCCAUUUUGCGAUAGCUCGUGACUUGUUGUGCUUCACUAUAGCGGUGAUUCGAACAAUGCAACUGCCGAGUUCAUGAACUUGUUGGACACCAACGCCGUUCACAUUGAUCAAGUCCCGUUUGAAGCAUUCGACUACAAUGAAACAGAGGCCAGCGUGGAAGAUCAUUGUUUUUAGGACGAUUUAGAGGAGAUCGAAGCGGAAGCAUAUGAGCAAUCGCAAACAAAAACUGGGAAAAGCCAGAGAUUGAAGAACUACAUGAUCUUGGAAGAUCAAGUUCUCAUGAAUGCAUGGAGUGCGGUGUCUCUUGAUGCAUGCACGGGUACUUCUCAAACCGCCAAGAGGUAUUGGCAAAGGAUCAAAGAUCAAUACUUCCGCAUGAUGGCAAAGUACCCCAAUAGAACUCCACGCACAUUUCGGUCUCUUCAUGGUCGUUGGGACAAUAUCAAGCCUAUGUGCAGCCGUUGGGCAGCUUGCUUGGAGAGCAAGUACGCAAUGCACCUCCAAGUGGAGCCGUGGAAUCCGAGUAUGUGAGUAUGUUUUGCCUUUGUUCAACUUGUGCAUCAUCAUAUUACAUCAUAUGAAAUGAUUGCAUCAUUUCACUUUUUUCACAUUGUGUAGAAAAAAAUUGCCCAACAUAGAUACAAAUACAUGGAAGCUUCGGAAGGCAAAUUCUUCAAACUAUAGCAUUGUUGGGAGUUGCUCCAAAAGUGCGAUAACUGGAAGUUGAUCGAGAAAGAAUCCCCAUAGAAGAGAGGCUCACUUACAAACAUGGAUGAUGAUGAGGAUGAUGAUGGCCCAAGAAAUUUGAACACGCCCGAUGGUGACAAGAAGACUAAGGAGAAGAUGAAGAGAGAGCAUGAAGCAUCAAGCUUGAGGGAGAAGAUUGAUGCCAUGGUGUAAUCAAAUGAGUUGAUGUUGUUGAAGUCAUUGGAGAUCAAGAAAGAGUUGGCCGAGAAGAAGGCAAAGGAGAAGCAAGAAAAGUGGCAAUUGCUCAGGGAAGAGGGGCUGCACAAAGCGACCAUUGAGGAUAGAAGAGCACGUGCCGAUGAAAACAAAGCCAUGUCCAAGUUGAUCGCCGAAGAGAACAAGAUCAUGUCAAUGAACCGUAAUGACAUGGACGACCUCACCCAAACAUGGCAUGAUAUGGCAAGGAGAGAAAUCUUGAAGAGGAGAAUGGUUGUGUCGGCCGGUGCAUGUUAUAGUUCCAGAGAUGUUUUCUCUGCUGGCAAUGUCGAUGAUUCGGUGUGGGAGUUGGAACAAGCGCCGGAGGUGGAUUCGGUGGUGGUAAUGAACUUCGAGAUGGACUCGAUGGCGUGGAGUGAAGAUCGACCAAGAUGAUGCCGGACGUGGUCGUCACUUUUGCAAGACCCUCUUUUGCGUUAGUCCUACUAAACUGAGGCUUUUAUUUGCGCGUAAACUGUGUUAUGUUGUUUGAAUUUGAACUUAUUCGUGGGCACCAAUUUCAAAUUUGAGACGUUUUCUGUUUGCGGGUCGACGCGGCGGUGCCCGUGCAGACACCGCAAAAGCCAACCCGUAAAAAAGUAUAUUCCGCGAAUAUCCUUUUAUACGGGUCCGUUUGGGGGUCUGCAUCUGCGGCCGUGCGAGCCAGCCCACAAAAGCCGUUUUCCACAAACUGCAAAUGUGUUUUGCGGGCCGACCGGAUGCGGGGUCUGGUAGAGUUGCUUGUCAGUACUUCAUAUGUUCAUAUCCAUAACCAAAAUAAUAGGUGCGGAUAAGCAUGUCUUAAUUAACCACCAUAAAAUGGGAUACUAAUAGGAUCCAGUUUAUCCCCUAUACUUAGCAAAACUAUAAAUUUAUACUAACGAACUAGAAUAAUAAUAAGCUUCGCAUCCACCCAUUUACCUGUUUUAAUGUUUCAAUAAAUGUUAUUAAUUGAUUCCACUUAGUAUAACCAGAGCAUGGCUGCUAUAAAGCACCCAGCCUGUAUAGAUCCAUUGCACAUCCACAAAGAUAGAAAGCUACAGAUACAACCGCCGGAAACACAACUCCUAAGUAAAACAAAAAUCUCCUACAUAACAUAGUUUUUCUACAAAUCAAGGAUGAAGACUGUCCAGGUGGUGCUCAUAUGCCUUGUCCUUUCGGUGCUCUGUUCAGGUAUUUUGCCGGUAUGUUUUUCUCCACCGCACUUGUAGGAAAUAUAUUUCGGCAUAUCCGUGCUCCUGCUCUCGAAACCCCGCAGGCCUCGCUGCUCGUUGUGCCCAGUACAACGUCUCCAAGGCAUGUCCAAGCAUAGCUUCAUGCACAUCACUGUGCACCUAUACAUAUAAGGCGGACACAGUAUAUGGUGUAUGUGCCGAUAACGGAUGCUGGUGCGUAGUCUGCGUGAUACCACCUGCAGCUCAAUCUGCGUCUGCAGCCCAGAUUGCGCCUGCGGGGAAUUAAAGGAUAUCGCUUGCUUCCCUUUCUGCCUAAAUAGAAUAAAACAAUGUCUAAUUAAUGUAUUUUUCUCGUACCGACAACAUUGUAUCGGUGUAAGGACCUGCGAGGCAAAAUAACAUCCUAUUAAUAUUGAGCGCUCUUUGGCGAAAUGCAUGAUUAAUCAAUUGGACACUAUAGAGGAUGUAUAAAUAUCCUUUCAUUGCGAGUGGCCAUGAAAAUACGUUUGUGGUUUUUUUUUCUCCAUGUUGAGAACAUUACCAAACCAUUGGAACCGGUCCUCCAUGCAAGUUGCAUGUGGAUGGGAGAUUCACAGCCAAGAUAGUGAAUAACCAGCUCCAUAAGCAACCUUGUUCUGAUCUCGUCAAAACUAUCAAACCCAUCACUUCACACCAUAAACCUGGCAAGCCGGUUCAAAUCUGGUCGAGAAGAAGCCCUUGGGUCCUCGGUGGUCGUCUGAAAGGCAACUUGAAUCACAAAGGGAGUGUCCCUGACGGACCUGCAGGGUCUGAAGUGACGAUCAUCAGCAUGGCGGAUCGAUCAUGAGAUGAAUGCUAAAGCGGCAAGCUAACAUUUGGCAAACGUUGGGUGAAGACAACUGAUGAAAAGUACCCACACGGAUAAUCCAUGCUAACCGAGGCCAGCAGCCGCAUGCAUGGCCAGCACGAGACCUUGGUGCACUAGUAGAAAAAGGUCCAUUUGUCCCGGUUCCAGAGGCCCUUCUGUCCUGGUUUUGGACCCGGGACUAAAGCCCAUGACCUUUAGUCCCAAUUCUCUUACGAACCGGGACAGAUGGGCCUCCAUGUGGCCUCUCCGCCGAGCCCGGGCAGGAGGGCCUUUGUUCCCGGUUCGUAACCCCAACCGGGACCAAAAAGUGUCCACGCGUCAGCAGCUCAGGAGCUGGGGCUUUUGUUUUUUUUUUGAAGGGGGGAGGUUGGGGGUUCUGGAGUCGUUAAUUGGGCCAGACAGCCCAUCUAAGGAAGCCACAGGAGACGGUCGACGGAGCCCAGUCGCGCGAGUGGAUCGAGCACCAAGAUCCCUACCGAGGCGAGCGAGGAGGAGCGCGAGAAUUGAACACGACGCCCUUCAUCCGAGGUUGCAAGGGAAGCUGAUCCAGCCGACGAGGGAAUCCAGCGGACAUGCCGGAUGCGGAUGAAUCAGAGGCCCAGUCGAUCCGUCUAUGAAGUGGGAAGGGGGACGCGGGCGAUGAUGUUCGGCAACCCAUCUGUUGGGAACUGAUCGCAAUCGUACUUUAGUUUCUAAGAUCACAUUCAUGGCGAUUGUUGUGCCCAUCCUUUCCGCUGUCGAGUGGUACUUCUAUAUUUUUCCUCCCAUAACAAUCCUCGGUCACCCUCUCUACUCUGACAUCACAAGCAUCUUUCAGCAUCAUGCUCUGGUAUUACUUAUGCAUGAUUCGUGAAGAUUUGUCAUUGAGGUUUACAAUCGUUCAUUAUUAUACUUGUUCUUUUAGAUUUAUCAUUGUGCCCUACAUGAGUCUCUGUCAAAAUUUGCAUGUGUUAAUUCUGUAUGUAUGCAAUUUGAUAUUUUAAAAUACUAACAUUUGUCCACUUUGUCCUAAAGUAGUUUUUGCUGCCUGGAGGUGAGCAAAGCGAAGGUAUCCCAUUAUCAUGAUUCAGAGGACUCAUGUUAUUCUCUUUAUUGUUAGUGCAACCGACUCCGGUUUAUAUCUCUUCUUGGAAUAAAAAAAUGCAUAUAUGGACCUGACUUCUUAUGUAGCUAUGUUCAAUCAACACAUCAGCAUGUUUUUGUUGGGCUGCAGACAUCCCCGUUCUGCGAUAGGUGCUACAUAGGGAAUUAGGAUUUUACAAAAUUUGCAUACAGAAAUCUUCGGAAUUAAAACAUGUAAAUGUGGACAAGUAUGAAAGAAUACAAAAGACAACAUUUUUAUUUUCAAGUUAUAAAGUGGAAUCCAUAGAUUACAAAGGAAUGUUAUCUCCUAAAAGUGAAUAAUAACAAGACAUCCGUUCAUUCAAAUUUGUGAAUAUUUCUCAAGAUGGGUAAGAUUGACUUUCUCAGAUAGAGUGCGGUAUUGUGACGGUCCCUUUGACUACAUACAUGUUUGUCUCUUUGUUGUGAACAAGCAAGACCUGGAAGAACCAACCUAUUUGUUUAAAUUUCGAAAUCUUGGUGAUGUUGUUUUUCCUUCUUUGCGUAUACUUCUCCUAUUGUUUUGGCGACAUACACUUCAUUGCUAAUCUGCCUUUCAAUGACUAUAUCCUUUUUGGCUGAUAGUCCUCUUAAACCUUUAAAUCAGUUUUUUUAACUGGUGCUCAAUAUAAUGGAUUGUAAUGGUAAGCUGCUUAAUAUAAGAGCUUGGUAACUUGACUUUACGAAUUUAUCGUCCCUUUUUUGAAAUAUUUACUGUCAAUUCUGAGGUGGUGGGCAGCCUAGUGGAGGCUUAGGUAUGUUGAUGGUCCAUCUCCCUUGAUUCCAUUAUUUACAUCCUCUCGACCGCUAGCUCUCACUAGCUACCUGCAGGCACAUAUUUCGCCUAGCCACGCCACACAUGGUGCUCGAGAACUGAUGCUGGUGAGCAUAUCGUUGUGUACAUUCUACUCAUGGGUAAGAUUUUUUAGUUGAAUACAGUUUUGCAAACAGAUUACUUAUGUAUGUUUCUUAGAAAACAUUGCUCCUUGAAUAAUACCCCAUGAUACUUAAACAAGCUCUAUGUCGUUUUUACUAGAUCAGUUUGGUGGUGAUUUAUAUUGAGGAUUUGAUCAUUACUCAUGCAUGCUAAAAGAUUUAUCUGACAUCCAAUUUUGUUCAGGUACAUUUCAUUCUUUUGUACAUUGAAAACUAUUGUUGGUAUAUUUGAUAGCUAGACUGUGCACAUAAGUGUAGAGGCCAUUAGUUAUGUUUUUCAAGCUAUGUUGGUAUCUGUUUGAAGAUUAAUUCCAAUCUGAUAUGUUCCAUUGUCAUCUGACAUUUAAUAGUAAAAUAUACUAUUGAAAAUUAGUUAAAUAUACAUUGAAUAGUUCAAAUAAAGAAAUGCCAUGUCAGAUAAGUUAAGGUGACUACAUAUUUGUCAAUGGCUUUCUCAAAGGUAGGUUUCAAAUCAGAUGUCAUUCAAAACUCAUCCUUGAAUUACCUUUAUACUUGAUUAACUGGACUACAUCACGGAGUUGUCGUCUUUGAAGUUUGAUGAAAUAAGGCCCAUGGUUGUUUUCCACUCUUAAAUUGCCUUUAGUUUGAAAUAAGGCCCAUGGUUGUUUGCUUUCCACUCUUAAAUUGCCUUUUUGACAGCUACAAAAAACUAUACUGAUAGGAGUUUUGAUUUCCCUUCUUCCUGUACUUUUUCGAUAUCACAAAGAAUUGUUCACGCCUUAUUUGUCCAUUUCGUGUUGACAUUUCAACUUGACAAUUACGAGAGCAGCAUGAUUUUAUUUAUGAUUAUUGCUGUUGUAGAGGUGUUAAAUAUAUAAAGUAUGAAAGUCGUAAUUUCAUGAAAGUACUUUGUAAUAUCAGCUUCCUUUGCCUGAUUGAUGUUGCUUUACAGUCUUAUUUGUCAGCAUUUUGUUCAGCGAGUUAAUGCUUUUUCCAUGCUGUGAGGUCAUAUAUGUUGCAGUCACAAAGCACCAAUGAUUUUUCCAUAGACACAAAAGCAAUGCUCCGGCUAUAGCAUUAAUUACACACACUCGUAUUUCCUAGGCUGCUGUAUAAAUAUGUACAAAAGGAUUGCUAUAUCAAAUACACGUCUAUGAUCAGUGCGUAUUAUCUUCCUUCUGACAAUGCUUACCAUGCUUAUAGUAAUCUACAUGGGUCUGGUUCCUUUUAAUAUCAAUAUUUGUCAUCAGAUUCUGAUAUACAUUGUUUCAGUCCAAAAUGUACAGGGUGCACAUUUUCUACAUUUAAUUUCGACUAAGACUUUCUUUUCUUGGUGGUAUGAUCACUUAUUAGUAAUUUGAUGGUUAUCUAUAUAUGUUGAAUUUUCAUAGCAUUUUAACCUCCCAUAUCAAUAUAUUUUCAUAAUAUAAAUUGUUCAAUUUCAUUUCCAAUGUAUUUUACUCAUAUAUUUUUAUUAUUUCAUAAUAUGAAUGGUAUGACAAAUAUAUGAUUGAGUCUUUUGCAAAAAAAAAAUCUUGACUCGUGUAUUUUUAAAAAUUCCUUUCAUUCUUUUCAAAAUAGACGGGCGCGAAAACGCGUGCCAUCAAUGAUCUAGUCAUAAGUGAUGUCCCGACCAGAUUCUUUCAACGUCAAUGAUUUUACUUUUUGGCAAGAUACUUUGGAGGUACGUAAAGCUAUAGAUCAGCGAUGGAUCAACGUUGAGGUCAGGUAAAGAGGCGAUUUGUCCACUUCUUCUAGGGUGGCCGCUACGGUGGUGCCGGAGUUGAGUGACGGGCAUUGGUAUCUUGCUCAAGGGUUUCUUCAGCCGAGAUUGUAAUUUUCUAUCUCGACUAGCUAAUGGUAGUUUUUGCAAUAGCUAGGGUUGUCGUAUCUUUUUUGGUUCUGUCAAGUUGGUUUUUUAGUGGAUCGUAAUUUGAUAUUUAUUUUAUAAAUGAGACACACAUUACAUCGAGAAAAAAAAUCAAGGCUACAGAUCAACAUGACCUCGUGUGUCCCGCAUGACCGCCCAGGACCUGUGUAGUGCGUACGCCGGAUCGUAGGCUCAUACACGAUAUUAGAGCAACUCUAGCAGACCCCACAUCCCGUCCUGAUUCGCAAAAUAACCGCCAAAGUGCGGGUCGGGGCGCGAAAAACGUCCCGAUCAGACCCCGCAUCCCGCCUCGGCCUGCAAAUGUUUUUUGCGGGGCGCGACAAAACAUCUCCCCCAACCUCUAGAUUCACGGGCUAGAGGGACGACCCGAGCUCAGCCCCUAUCCGCAGCGAGAUUUGGCGGGAGGGAUAUUUNNNNNNNNNNNNNNNNNNNNNNNNNNNNNNNNNNNNNNNNNNNNNNNNNNNNNNNNNNNNNNNNNNNNNNNNNNNNNNNNNNNNNNNNNNNNNNNNNNNNNNNNNNNNNNNNNNNNNNNNNNNNNNNNNNNNNNNNNNNNNNNNNNNNNNNNNNNNNNNNNNNNNNNNNNNNNNNNNNNNNNNNNNNNNNNNNNNNNNNNNNNNNCCACCGCACGCUCCCUAGCAGUCCUUCGCCGCCAUGGAUGACUCCCUGCUGUCCCACGUCACCGUCGAGGUCGCUGGCGCUCCUUCUCCUCGGGCGGAUCUCGUCGCCGGCCCAAUUGGCCCCGCUGUUGCCCAAGGUCAAGUCGCGCCUGCCCGCAAGCGGCAGGGCAACGUGGUCGUGCAGGGCAGCGCUACGGCAGCCCUCGCUGCGAGGUCCCGCGCUCCGGGCACCAAUGCUGUUGCGCGAUCUCGGCCGGCGGCGGAGAAGGUCGCCAAGGUCGCCGGCGUCAAGAGGAAGAAGAUUCCGGCCACAAAGAAGCCACCUCCUUCAUCCGCUCACUCCGGCUCGGAAAGAGGUGCCCCGACGAUGCCGCUCAACGGUGCUGCUCCCCCCGCAAGCGAGGUGUUUGACAAAAUGGCCGGAAGGUAUGUGUAUUCGGUCAUGGCAAUUUUCUUUGCUUUUCGCCAUUUUGCAAUAGCUCGUGACUUGUUGUGCUUCACUAUAGCGGUGGUUCGAACAAUGCAACUGCUGAGUUCAUGAACUUGUUGGACACCAACGCCGUUGACAUUGAUCAAGUCCCGUUUGAAGCAUUCGACUACAAUGAAACAGAGGCCGGCGUGGACGAUCAUGGUUUUUAGGACGAUUUAGAGGAGAUCGAAGCGGAAGCAUAUGAGCAAUCGCAAACAAAAACUGGGAAAAGCCAGAGAUUGAAGAAGUACAUGAUCUUGGAAGAUCAAGUUCUCCUGAAUGCAAGGAGUGCGGUGUCUCUUGAUGCAUGCACGGGUACUUGUCAAACCGCCAAGAGGUAUUGGCAAUGGAUCGAAGAUCAAUACUUCCGCAUGAUGGCAAAGUACCCCAAUAGGACUCCACGCACAUUUCGGUCUCUUCAAGGUCGUUGGGAGAAUAUCAAUCCUAUGUGCAGCCGUUGGGCAGCUUGCUUGGAGAGCAAGUAUGCAAUGCACCUCCAAGUGGAGCCGUGGAAUCCGACUAUGUGAGUAUGUUUUGCCUUUGUUCAACUUGUGCAUCAUCAUAUUACAUCAUAUAAAAUGAUUGCAUCAUUUCACUUUGUUCACAUUGUGUAGAAAAAAAUUGCCCAACAUAGAGACAAAUACAUGGAAGCUUCGGAAUGCAAAUUCUUCAAACUAGAGCAUUGUUGGGAGUUGCUCCAAAAGUGCGAUAACUGGAAGUUGAUCGAGAAAGAAACCCCAUAGAAGAGAGGCUCACUUACAAACAUGGAUGAUGAUGAGGACGAUGAUGGCCCAAGAAAUUUGAACAUGCCCGAUGGCGACAAGAAGACUAAGGAGAAGAUGAAGAGAGAGCAUGAAGCAUCGAGCUUGAGGGAGAAGAUUGAUGCCAUGGUGUAAUCAAAUGAGUUGAUGUUGUUGAAGUCGUUGGAGAUCAAGAAAGAGUUGGCUGAGAAGAAGGCAAAGGAGAAGCAAGAAAAGUGGCAAUUGCUCAGGGAAGAGGGGCUGCACAAAGCGGCCAUUGAGGAUAGAAGAGCACAUGCCGAUGAAAACAGAGCCAUGUCCAAGUUGCUCGCCCAAGAGAACAAGAUAAUGUCAAUGAACCGCAAUGACAUGGACGACCUCACCAAAACAUGGCAUGAUAUGGCAAGGAGAGAAAUCUUGAAGAGGAGAAUGGUUGUGUUGGCCGGUGCAUGUUAUACUUCCAGAGAUGUUUUCUCUGCUGGCAAUGUCGAUGAUUUCGGUGCAGGAGUUGGAACAAGCGCCGGAGGUGGAUUCGGUGGUGGUAAUGAACUUCAAGAUGGACUCGAUGGCGUGGAGUGAAGAUCGACCAAGAUGAUGCCGGACGUGGUCGUCACAUUUGCAAGACCCUCUUUUGCGUUUGUCCUACUAAACUGAGGCUUUUAUUUGCGCGUAAACUGUGUUAUGUUGUUUUAAUUUGAACUUAUUCGUGGGCACCAAUUUCAAAUUUGAGAAUUGGGCGUUUUCUGUUUGCGGGUCGACGCGGCGGUGGCCGUGCAGACACCGCAAAAGCCAACCCGUAAAAAAGUAUAUUCCACGAAUAUCCUUUUAUACAGGUCCGUUUGGGGGGUCUGCAUCUGCGGCCAUGCGAGCCAGCCCACAAAAGCCGUUUUCCACGAACUGCAAACGCGUUUUGUAGGCCGGCCGGAUGCGGGGUCUGGUAGAGUUGCUUGUCAGUACUUCAUAUGUUCAUAUCCAUAACCAAAAUAAUAGGUGCGGAUAAGCAUGUCUUAAUUAACCACCAUAAAAUGGGAUACUAAUAGGAUCCAGUUUAUCCCCUAUACUUAGCAAAACUAUAAAUUUAUACUAACGAACAAGAAUAAUAGUAAGUUGCGCGUCCACCCAUUUACCUGUUUAAUAUUUCAAUAAAUGUUAUUAAUUGAUUCCACUUAGUAUAACCAGAGCAUGGCUGCUAUAAAGCACCCAACCUGUAUAGAUCCAUUGCACAUCCACAAAGAUAGAAAGCUACAGAUACAACCGCCGGAAACACAACUCCUAAGUAAAACAAAAAUCUCCUACAUAACAUAGUUUUUCUACAAAUCAAGGAUGAAGACUGUCCAGGUGGUGCUCAUAUGCCUUGUCCUUUCGGUGCUCUGUUCAGGUAUUUUGCCAGUAUGUUUUUCUCCACCGCACUUGUAGGAAAUAUAUUUCGGCUUAUCCGUGCUCCUGCUCUCGAAACCCUGCAGGCAUCGCUGCUCGCUGUGCCCAGUACAACAUUUCCAAGGCAUGUCGAAGCAUAGCUUCAUGCACAGCACUGUGCACCUAUAAAUAUAAGGCGGACACGGUUUAUGGUGUAUGUGCUGAUAACGGAUGCUGGUGCGUAGUCUGCGUGAUACCACCUGCAGCUCAAUCUGCGUCUGCAGCCCAGAUUGCGCCUGCAGGGAAUUAAAGGAUAUCGCUUGCUUCCCUUUCUGCCUAAAUAGAAUAAAACAGUGUCUGAUUAAUGUAUUUUUCUCGUACCGACAACACUGUAUUGGUGUAUCAUGUAGCAAGGACCCGCGAGGCAAAAUAACAUCCUAUUAAUAUUGAGCGCUCUUUGGCGAAAUGCAUGAUUAAUCAAUUGGACACCGUAGAGGAUGUAUAAAUAUCCUUUCAUUGUGAGUGGCCAU